rnacentral:lncRNA from 1 species
GAGCAUAUUGUGUCCAUGAUUGAAAUGCUUGGUAUGUGUGCGAUCCGACAACCAAGUUGUUUAUCCUUGGUAGCCUCUCUUAUGGGGAAAUUUAGUCUUGUGCUUCCAUGAGCCAUAGUAGUCCGCUAUAGCUCGGUUCACCGGAGUCCUGCUAGCCCAGCACUACUGCUCUGGAACACUUGACUGGCCGGCAUGUGAUUCACUUCAUUCCUGUGUCUGUCCCUUCGAGGAAAUGUCACGCGGUGACAUCCUGAGUCCUGCCUAGCCUGCUACAGCCCGGGUUCCUGGAGUCCUGUUAGCCCAGUGCUAUAGCCCAGAUUCGCACGCUGCUGACCGACAUGCUCGAUGUUGAUUCAUGUAUGCCUGUCCCCGUAAGUUAGUGCCACUUUGGGUUCACGACUAGUCAUGUCGGCCCGGGUUCUCUGUCAUAUGGAUGCUAGCAACACUAUCAUAUACGUGAGCUAAAAGGCGCAAACAGUCCCGGGCCAUGGUAAGGCAACACCCGUGGGAAUACCGUGCGUGAGGCUGCAAAGUGAUAUGAGAUGUUACCGGCUAGAUCGAUGUGACUUGGAAUCGGGGUCCUAACAAGUGUUCACAAUCAUGAAAGAUGUCCAAGAUAGUAUAUUUAUAUGUGAAGACCUCUCUUUCUUUAUUACUUCCUAUUAAUUGCAACGAUGACCAAAACUAUUUUUGUCAACCCUCAAUAACUUUUAUUCAUCAUAUUCUUUCUAUGUGAGCUCAUUACUCUCCAUAUGAGUCACAUGAUCUCUUUGUUUCCUUUUUUAUUUCUUUCUCUUUUCUUUUCUUUUAUUUGGGAUCAUGGCAAAAAUAAGUAAGCCCUUGACUCAAUCACUAAUAUUUAUUAUAUAGCUCAAGGACUCGAUUACAUAGAAGUAUAAUAAAGCAAAACUCAUGACUAGAUCAUGCUAAGAACUUUUAUUCCACUAGAUCAAAAUAUUACCAAAAGUAUCGAACUAAGAAAAACGGUAAAGAUAAAAUUGAUGGUGAUACGAUACCGGGGCACUCCCCCAAGCUUGGCAGUUGCCAAGUGGAGUGCCCAUACCAGAUACUCAAUUUUCUUUGUUGGAGGAGACGGUGGUGAUGUUGUUGAUGGCGUAGGCUUGUCGUCCUUCUUCCAAGGCAUAGGCUCACCAUCAUAGAAGGAUGAAAGAGUCUCCGGGAUCCUCAAAUCUACAGCCAAACUCAUCCUUUUGAAUCUAUAUUCAUACUCACAGUUUUGGUUUUGCAGGUCAUAGAUUUGAGCUUGGAGGUGCUCAAUUUUCUCGUGAAGCUUGAAGAUGGUCUCCCCGAUUUUGUCAGCCUCCAGCUUGUGUUUGUUGGUGAACUCUGCGAUCAUCAUGUAAUUGGAGUUGAGUCCACGCUCCACCAUCCCCUGACACUUGAAAACUUGUUGCUCCAUUGCUUCGAGCCUCGUCUCCAUGCUUCCGGUCCCCUUUGGCCCCUCAGCAUCAUGGAUGUGCAGCAACCCAUCAUGCAUCUCAAUGGUUUGCGGGUGUCGUUGCACGUCCUCUAGGUAAGGGUUGAUGACCUUCUCGAAGAACUUGUCCUUGGGUGCACUUGAAGACAUCAUGAUAAUCUAGAUCUGUCAGAAAAACCACUUGAAACAAAGACAAGAGAUUUUUGCGUGAUACGGGAGUCAAAACCCCCGGGAGGUUAUAUAAUGAAUUUUUACCGACCAAAAUACGUGUCUUGUAAGAAAUCGGAGUCCGGAGAGCACACGAGGUGCCCACGAGGUAGGGGGCGCGCCCAGGGGGGUAGGGCGCGCCCUCCACCCUCGUGGAGCCCUCGUGGAACCCUCGUGUCCUUUCCAGACUGCUGCUUAUUUUUCUAUUUUUCUAAAUAUUCCAAAACGGAGAAAUAUUGCCUUAAAAACUGUUUUGGAGUCGGUUUACUUACCGUACCACAUACCUAUUCCUUUUCGGUGUCUGAAACGUUCCGGAACGUGUCCUUUAUUUAUUCCUCCAAGGUUACGGUUUCAAUAACAUUGGUUUCAACAUUUAUGGGAUUACAUGAGAUAUAGUGUUUGAUUCUUUGACCGUUCACCACCUUUGGAUUUGUGCCUUCGAAGUUGUUGAUUUUUAUGGCACCGGAAUAGUAUACCUCCUCGAUAACAUAAGGACACUCCCAUUUAGAGAGAAGUUUUCCUGCAAAAAAUCUUAAACGAGAGUUGUAUAGCAAUACAUAAUCACCUACAUUAAACUCACGCUUUUGUAUCCUUUUGUCAUGCCAUCUUUUAACUUUUACUUUAAACAACUUGGCAUUUUCGUAGGCUUGGGUUCUCCAAUCAUCAAGUGAGCUAAUAUCAAAUAACCUCUUCUCACCGGCAAGUUUAAAAUCAUAAUUAAGUUCUUUUAUAGCCCAAUAAGCCUUGUGUUCUAGUUUGAGAGGUAAGUGACAUGCUUUUCCAUAGACCAUUUUAUAUGGAGACAUACCCAUAGGAUUUUUAUAUGUAGUUCUAUAGGCCCAUAAUGCAUCAUCAAGUUUCUUGGAACAAUUCUUUCUGGACCUAUUAACAGUCUUUUGCAAAAUUAAUUUGAGUUCUCUAUUACUCAAUUCUACUUGACCACUAGACUGAGGGUGAUAAGUGGAUGCAAUUCUAUGGUUAACAUCAUAUUUAGCAAGCAUUUUACGGAAAGCACCAUGAAUAAAAUGUGAACCACCAUCAGUCAUUAGAUAUCUAAGGACUCCAAACCUUGGAAAGAUAAAUUCUUUAAGCAUUUUAAUAGAAGUGUUAUGAUCAGCACUACUAGUUGGAAUAGCUUCUACCCACUUAGUAACAUAAUCAACAUCAACUAAAAUAUGUGUAUAACCAUUAGAGGAAGGAAAAGGUCCCAUAUAGUCAAAGCCCCAAACAUCAAAUGGUUCAAUAACAAGUGAAUAAUUCAUAGGCAUUUCUUGACGUCUACUAAUAUUACCAAUUCUUUGACAUUCAUCACAAGAUAAGACAAACUUACGGGCAUCCUUGAAGAGAGUAGGUCAAUAAAAACCAGAUUGCAGUACCUUAUGUGCAGUCCUAUCUCCAGCAUGGUGUCCUCCAUAAGCUUCAGAGUCACACUUGCAUAGGAUCUGUUCCUGUUCAUGCUCAGGUACACAACGUCUAAUAACACAAUCUACUCCUUCUUUAUAAAGAUGUGUGUCAUCCCAAAAGAAUGCCUCAAAUCAUAGAAGAACCUUUUCUUUUGCUGGUAUGUGAAACUAGGUGGUAUAAACUUAGCAACAAUGUAAUUAGCAUAAUCAGCAUAUCAUGGAGCAGUAUGAGAAGCAUUUAUGACAUUAGUUGCUCAUCAGGAAAGCUAUCAUCAAUAGGUAGUGGGUCAUCAAGCACAUUUUCUAACCUAGACAAGUUGUCUGCAACGGGGUUCACGGCUCCUUUUCUAUCAACAAUAUGUAAAUCAAAUUCUUGUAGCAAGAGAACCCAUCUAAUAAGUCUAGGUUUAGCAUCUUUCUUUUCCAUAAGAUAUUUAAUAGCAGCAUGAUCAGUGUGAAUAGUUACUUUAGAAUCAACAAUAUAAGGACUAAACUUAUCACAGCCAAAUACAACUACUAAGAAUUCUUUUUCAGUAGUAGCAUAAUUUCUUUGAGCAUUGUCUAGAGUUUUACUAGCAUAUUGGAUAACAUUUAGUUUCUUAUCAACUCUUUGUCCUAGAAGAGCACCUACAACAUAAUCACUAGCAUCACACAUAAUUUCAAAGGGUAAAUUCCAAUCAGGUGGCUGAACAAUAGGUGCAGAGAUCAAUGCUUUCUUAAGUAUUUCAAAUGCUUCUACACAAUCAUCAUCAAAGACAAAUGGUAUAUCUUUUUGUAAUAAAUUAGUCAGAGGCCGAGAUUUUUUUGAGAAAUCCUUAAUGAACCUCCUAUAAAAACCGGCAUGACCAAGGAAACUUCUUAUAACUUUGAUGUCCUUGGGACAUGGCAUCUUUUCAAUAGCAUCAACCUUGGCUUUAUCAACUUCAAUACCUCUUUCAGAAACUUUAUGACCCAAGACAAUACCUUCAUUAACCAUAAAGUGGCACUUUUCCCAAUUCAAGACAGGAUUAGUUUCUUCCCAUCUCUGCAAAACUCGAUCAAGCUUGCUCAAACAAUCAUCAAAAGAUCUAUAGACGGAAAAGUCGUCCAUGAAAACCUCACAAAUCUUUUCACAAAAGUCAGAGAAUAUAGCCAUCAUGCAUCUUUGAAAGGUAGCAGGUGCAUUACAUAAACCAAAAGGCAUACGUCUAUAAGCAAAAGUACCAAAAGGGCAUGUACAAGUAGUCUUUGAUUGAUCUUUGGCUGACACAAGUAUUUGAGAGAAACCAGAAUAACCAUCUAGAAAGCAAAAAUGUGUAUGUUUAGAUAAUCUUUCUAGCAUUUGAUCAAUAAAAGGUAAGGAGUAAUGAUCCUUUUUGGUAGCCUUAUUUAAUUUGCGGAAAUCAAUUACCAUCCUAUAACCUGUAUUAAUUCUUUGAGGGAUCAAUUCAUCUUUAUCAUUAGGAACAAUAGUAAAACCUCCCUUCUUAGGGACACAAUGGACAGGACUUACCCACUUACUAUCAGCAAUAGGAUAAAUUAUACCUCCCUCAAGGAGCUUUAGUAUCUCCUUUCUUACCACUUCUUUCAUUUUAGGAUUCAAACGGCGCUGAUGAUCACGAACUGGUUUAGCAUCUUCUUCCAAAUUAAUUUUAUGUUGACAUAGAGUGGGACUAAUGCCCUUAAGAUCAUCAAGAGUAUACCCAAUAGCAGCACGGUGCUUGUUCAGAGUUUUUAAUAAUCUCUCUUCUUCGUGUUCUAAAAGGUUAGCACUAAUAAUAACAGGGUAUAUCUUUUUCUCAUCAAGAUAAGCGUAUUUAAGAGUAUCAGGUAACGAUUUAAGAUCAAACACGGGAUAACCCUUGGGUGGAGGAGGAUCUCCUAGGAUUUCAACAGGUAAAUUGUGUUUCAGAAUAGGUUCCUGUUUAAAGAAUACUUCAUCUAAUUUCCUUCUUUCAUUCAUAAACAUAUCAUUUUCAUGGUCUAGCAAAUAUUGUUCUAAAGGAUGACUAGGAGGUACGGCAAUAGAAGAAAGACCAAUAAUUUCAUCUUUACUAGGUAAUUCUUCUUCACGGUGUUGUCUACUAAAUUUAGAAAAAUUAAAUUCAUGAGUCAUAUCAUAUGAACCGACAGUAACAACAUCCCUUUUGCAAUAUAUGGUAGCAUUAACAGUAUUUAAGAAGGGUCUACCAAAUAUAAUGGGACAAAAACUAUCUUGUGGGGAACCAAGAAUAAGAAAAUCAACAGGAUAUUUAGUUCUCCCACACAAGACUUCAACAUCUAUAACAAUUCCCAUUGGUGAAAUAGUAUCUCUAUUGUGACAUCAAUAUCUUCUAACUCAACAGGUGCAAUGUCAUGCAUAAUUUCUUUGAAUAAGUCAAUAGGUAUUGCACUAACACUAGCACCCAUAUCACAUAAGCCAUGAUAACAAUGAUCUCCUAUUUUAACAGAAAUAACAGGCAUACCUACCACAGGUCUAGGUUUAUCUGUAUCACGGGGUUUAGCAAUUCUAGCAGUUUCAUCACAGAAAUAAAUAACAUGCCCAUCUAUAUUAUCAGACAAGAGAUCUUUAACAAUAGAAUAUUAGGUUCAACUUUAACUUGCUCAGGAGGCGUAUAUGUUUUAAUAUUGCUUUUACGAACCACAGUUGAAGCUUUAGCAUUAUCCUUGAUCCUAACAGGGAAAGGCGGUUUCUCAACAUAAGAAGUACGAACAAUAGGAUCAUUAUAAGUAAUAGCCUUUUCUUCAACUUUAAUAGGUGCAGCUACUUUUACUUCUAUGGGAGGAUGAUAUUUAAACCACUUCUCCUUGGGGAGAUCAACAUAAGCAACAAAAGAUUCACAGAAAGAAGCUACUAUCUCAGAGUCAAGUCCAUAUUUAGUGCUAAAUUUACAAAAAAUAUCGGUAUCCAUAAAAGAUUUAACACAAUCAAAACUAGGUGUCAUACCUGACUCCUUACCAUUGUCAAGGUCCCAAUCUUCGGAGUUGCGUUUAAUUCUUUCCAAUAAAUCCCAUUUGAACUGAAUAGUCUUCAUUAUAAAAGAGCCAUCACAAGAAGUAUCAAGCAUGGUGCGAUUGUUAUCAGAAAGCCGAGCAUAAAAAUUUUGAAUAAUCAUUUCUCUUGAGACCUCAUGAUUGGGGAAUGAAUAUAACAUUGUUUUAAGCCUCCCCCAAGCUUGAGCGAUGCUUUCUCCUUCGCGAGGCCAAAAAUUAUAUAUAUAAUUGCGAUCACGAUGAACAAGAUGCAUAGGAUAAAACUUUUGAUGGAAUUCCAAUUUCAAUCGUUUGUAGUUCCAAGACUCCAUAUCAUCACAUAGCCUAUACCAUGCCGAUGCAUCUCCCCUCAAAGAUAAAGGGAAGACCUUCUUCUUAACAACAUCUCCGGGUACACCUGCAAGCUUAAAUAAUCCACAAACUUCAUCCACAUAUAUUAGAUGCUCAUCAGGAUGUUUUGUUCCAUCUCCUAAAAAGGAUUAGCUAGUAGUUUUUCUACCAUACCCAAAGGAAUUUCAAAGCAAACAUUUUCAUUUUCAGUAGGUUCAGUAGGUUGAGGAGUAACUCUUUGCUCUAUUGGUCGGGGUGAAGAUACCCCGAACAAGCCCCUUAGUGGAUUACUUUCCAUAGUAACAAGUGACAGUAAAUUUCAGCACACUAUAUAAAUUUUUCCUUACCAAAUUCAACCUACCAAAGGCGCUUCACUCCCCGGCAAUGGCGCCAGAAAGGAGUCUUGAUGACCCACAAGUAUAGGGGAUCUAUCGUAGUCCUUUCGAUAAGUAAGAGUGUCGAACCCAACAGGAGCAGAAUGAAAUGAUAAGCGGUUUCCAGCAUGAUAUUAUCUGCAAGUACUGAAAUAAGUGGUAACAGAUAGUUUUGUGAUAGGAUAAUUUGUAACGAGCAACAAGUAACAAAAGUAAAUAAAGUGCAGCAAGGUGGCCCAAUCCUUUUGUAGCAAAGGACAAGCCUGGACAAACUCUAAUAUGAUGUAAAGCGCUCCCGAGGACACAUGGGAAUAUCAUCAAGCUAGUUUUCAUCACGUUCGUAUGAUUCGCGUUCAGUACUUUGAUAAUUUGGUAUGUGGGUGGACCGGUGCUUGGGUGUUGCCCUUACUUUGACAAGCAUACAACUUAUCAUUAACCUCUAUUGCAAGCAUCCGCAAAUACAACAAAAGUAUUAAGGUAAACCUAACCAUAGCAUGAAACAUAUGGAUCCAAAUCAGCCCCUUACGAAGCAACGCAUAAACUAGGGUUUAAGCUUCUGUCACUCUAGCAACCCAUCAUCUACUUAUUACUUCCCAACGCCUUCCUCUAGGCCCAAAUAAUGGUGAAGUGUCAUGUAGUCGACGUUCACAUAACACCACUAGAGGAGAGACAACAUACAUCUCAUCAAAAUAUCGAACGAAUACCAAAUUCACAUGACUACUAAUAGCAAGACUUCUCCCAUGUCCUCAGGAACAAAAGUAACUACUCACAAAGCAUAAACAUGUUCAUAAUCAGAGGGGUAUUAAUGUGCAUAUAGGAUCUGAACAUAUGAUCAUCCACCAAUUAAUCCAAUUAGCAUCAACUACAAGGAGUAACUAACACUACUGGCAACCUACUAGCACCAAUCUCGGACUUGGAGACAUGAAUUGGAUACAAGAGAUGAACUAGGGUUUUGAGAUGAGAUGGUGGUGAUGAAGAUGUUGAUGCAGAUUGCCCUCUCCCGAUGAGAGGAGCAUUGGUGAUGACGAUGGCGAUGAUUUCCCCCUCCAAGAGGGAAGUUUCCCCGGCAGAACAGCCCCGCCAGAACCGUAGAUUGGUUCCGCCAAGGUUCCGCCUCGUGGCGGCGGAGUUUCGUCCGAGAAGAUGGCUUAUGAUUUUUUCCCAUCGAAAGAGUCCAUAUAGAAGAAGAUGGUCACCGGAGGGCCACCAGGGGGCCCACGAGGUAGGGGGGCGUGCCCAGGGGGUAGGGCGCGCCCCCCACCCUCGUGGGCAGGGUGUGGCCCCCCUGGUGAAGUUCUUGCGCUCAAUAUUUUUUAUAUAUUUGGAAAACAUCAUCCGUGAAGUUUCAGGACUUUUGGAGCUGUGCAGAAUAGGUCUCUAAUAUUUGCUCCUUUUCCAGCCAGAAUCCCACCUGCCGGCAUUCUCCCUCUUUAUGUAAACCUUGUAAAAUAAGAGAGAAUAGGCAUCAGUAUUGUGACAUAAUGUGUAAUAACAGCCAUAAUGGAAUAAAUAUUGUUAUAAAAGCAUGAUGCAAAAUGGACGUAUCGCUGAUGUAUGUGGCCCGAUGAAUUGAGGCUCGCGGCGGGUAUCGUUAUUUUCUCACCUUCACAGAUGAUUUAAGCAGAUAUGGGUAUAUCUACUUAAUGAAACAUAAGUCUGAAACAUUUGAAAAGUUCAAAGAAUUUCAGAGUGAAGUGGAAAAUCAUCGUAACAAGAAAAUAAAAUUUCUACGAUCUGAUCGUGGAGGAGAGUAUUGUUGGGGAUCGUAGCAGAAAUUUAAAAUUUUCUACGCAUCACCAAGAUCAAUAAUGGAGUAAUCUAGCAACGAGGGGAAGGAGAGUGCAUCUACAUACCCUUGUAGAUUGCUAGGCGGAAGCGUUGCAAGAACGCGGAUGAAGGAGUCGUACUCGUAGCGAUUUAGAUCGCGGUUGAUUCUGAUCUAAGCGCCGAACCACGGCGCCUCCGCGUUCAACACCUGUGCAGCCCGGUGACAUCUCCUACGCCUUGAUCCAGCAAGGGGAGAAGGAGAGGUUGGGGAAGACUCCAUCCAGCAGCAGCACGACGGCGUGGUGGUGAAGGAGGAGCAUGGCAAUCCUGCAGGGCUUCGCCAAGGACCGCCGGAGAAGAGGAGGACUUGGGAGAGGGGGAGGGCUGCGCCAGAACAUGGGUGCGGCUGCCCUCCCACCCCCCACAUGUAUAUAGGGGUAAGGGAGAGGGUUGUCGUCCCCCUUAGAUCCAAUCUGAGGAGGGGGCGGCGGCCAGGGGGGUUGCCUUGCCCCCCAAGGCAAGGGGGGCGCCCCCCCUUUAGGGUUCCCCCAAACCCUAGGCGCAUGGGCCCUAGGGGGAGGCGCCCAUCCCACUAAGGGGCUGGUCCCUCUCCACACACAGCCCAUAGGGCCCUCCGGGGCAGGUGGACCCUCCCGGUGGACCCCCGAACCCCUCUAGUGGUCCCGGUACAAUAUCGGUAACCCCCCGGAUUAUUCCGGUGACCGUAUGAUGACUUCCCAUAUAUAAAUCUUUACCUCCGAACCAUUCCGGAACUCCUCGUGACGUCCGGGAUCUCAUCCGGGACUCCGGACAACAUUCGGUGAUCACAUACCAGUCUUCCUAAUAACCCUAGCGUCAUCGAACCUUAAGUGUGUAGACCCUAUGGGUUAGGGAACCAUGCAGACAUGACCGAGACAACUCUCCGGCCAAUAACCAAUAGCGGGAUCUGGAUACCCAUGUUUUCUCCCACAUGUUCCACGAUGAUCUCAUCGGAUGAACCACGAUUUCGAGGAUUCAAUCAAUCCCGUAUUCAAUUCCCUUUGUCCAGCGGUAUUGUACUUGCCCGAGAUUCGAUCGUCGGUAUCCCGAUACCUUGUUCAAUUUCGUUACCGGCAAGUCUCUUUACUCUUUCCGUAAAUCAUCCCGUGAUCAACUCCUUGGUCACAUUGUGCACAUUAUGAUGAUGUCCUACCGAGUGGGCCCAGAGAUACCUCUCCGUUUACACGGAGUGACAAAUCCCAGUCUUUAUAGCCAACCCAACAGACACUUUUGGAGAUACCUGUAGUGUACCUUUAUAGCCACCCAGUUACGUUGUGAUGUUUGGCACACCCAAAGCACUCCUAUGGUAUCCGGGAGUUGCACAAUCUCAUGGUCUAAGGAAAUGAUACUUGACAUUAGAAAAGCUUUAGCAAACGAACUACACGAUCUUGUGCUAGGUUUAGGAUUGGCUCUUGUCCAUCACAUCAUUCUCCUAAUGAUGUGAUCCCGUUAUCAAUGACAUCCAAUGUCCAUGGUCAGGAAACCGUAACCAUCUAUUGAUCAACGAGCUAGUCAACUAGAGGCUUACUAGGGACAUGGUGUUGUCUAUUUAUCCACACAUGUAUCUGAGUUUCCAAUCAAUACAAUUCUAGCAUGGAUAAUAAACGAUUAUCAUGAACAAUGAAAUAUGAUAUAGUAAUAACUAAUUUAUUAUUGCCUCUAGGGCAUAUUUCCAACAGUCUCCCACUUGCACUAGAGUCAAUAAUCUAGUUGACAUCGCCAUGUGAUUAACACUCACAGGUCACAUCGCCAUGUGACCAACAUCCAAAGAGUUUACUAGACUCAAUAAUCUAGUUCACAUCACUAUGUGAUUAACACUCAAUGAGUUCUGGGUUUGAUCAUGUUAUGCUUGUGAGAGAGGUUGUAGUCAACGGGUCAUGCCAUAUUCAGAUCCCCAUGUAUUUCGCAAAACUUUAUGUCAUAUCGUAGAUGCUGCUACCAUGUUCCACUUGGAGCUAUUCCAAAUUGUUGCUCCAUUAUGCGUAUCCGGUAUCUCUACUCAGAGCUAUCCGGAUAGGUGUUAAGCUUGCAUCAACGUAACUCUUUAUGUCGAACUCUUUAUCAUCUCCAUAACCGAGAAACAUUUCCUUAUUCCUCUAAGGAUAAUUUCGACCGCUAUCUGGUGAUCCAGUCCUAGAUCACCUUUGUACCCUCUUGCCAGAUAUGUGGCAAGGCACACAUCAGGUGCGGUACUCAGCAUGGCAUACCGUAUAGAGCCUAUGACAAGAGCAUAGGGGACGACCUUCGUCCUUCCUCUUUCUUCUGCCGUGGUCAAGCUUUGAGUCUUACUCAACUUCACACCUUACAACUCAGGUAAGAACCCCUUCUUUGACUGAUCUAUUUUGAACUCCUUCAAAAACAUGUCAAGGUGUGUGUUCUUUGAAAGUAUCAUCAGGCGUCUUGAUCUAUCCCUAUAGAUCUUGAUGCCCAAUUUGUAAGAAGCUUUAUCCAGGUCUUCCUUUGAAAAACACUCUUCAAACAACCUUUUAUGCUUUCCAGAAAUUCUACAUCAUUUUGAAUCAACAAUAUGUCAUCCACAUAUACUUAUCAGAAAUGUUGUAGUGCUCCCACUCACUUUCUUGUAAAUACAAGUUUCUAGCAAACAUUGUAUAAACCUAAAAGCUUUGAUCACUCCAUCAAAACAUAUAUUCCGAUUCCGAGAUGCUUGCUCUAAUCCAUAAAAGGAUUGCUGGAGCCAGCAUACCUUUUAGCAUCCUUAGGAUCGACAAAACCUUUUAUUGUAUCACAUACAACUUUUCUUAUGAAAACUGGUAAGAAAACUUGUUUUGACAUCCAUCUGUCAGAUUUCAUAAUCGAAAAAUAUAGAUAAUGCUAACAUAAUUCCGACGGACUUAAGCAUCGCUACGGGUGAGAAAUUCUCAUCGUAGUCAACUCCUUGAACUUGUGAAAAAAACUCUUUCCCACAAGUCGAGCUUCAUAGACGGUAACAUUACCGCCAACGUCCGUUUUCUUCUUAAAGAUCCAUUUAUCUCAAUGGCUUGACGAUCAUCGGGCAAGUCCACCAAAGUCCAUACUUUGUUCUGAUACAUGGAUCCUAUCUCGGAUUUCAUGGCUUCUAACCAUCUGUCGGAAUACGGGCCCACCAUUGCUUCUCCAUAGCUCAUAGGUUCAUUGUUGUCUAACAACAUGAUAUCUAAGACAGGAUUACCGUACCACUCAGGAGUGGUACAUACCCUUGUCGACCUAUGAGGUUCGAUAGUAACUUGAUCUGAAGCUUCAUGAUCACUAUCAUUAACUUCCUAUUCAACAGAUGUAGGUGCAAUAGAAAACAUCUUUCUGUGUUGCAUCACUCUCUGGUUGAAGUAAAGUUUCGACAACCUCAUCAAGUUCUAUCUUCCUCCCACUCAAUUCUUUCGAGAGAAACUCCUUCUCGAGAAAGGACUCGUUCUUAGCUACAAACAAUUUGCCCUCGGAUCUGAGAUAGAAGGUAUACCCAACUGUCACCCUUGGGUAUCCUAUGAAGAUGUGUUUGUCCGCUUUGGGUUCGGGCUUCUCCGGCUGAAGCCUUAAGCAUCAUAGCCCCAAACAUUACGAAACGACAACUUUGGUUUCUUGUCAAACCAAUGUUCAUACGACGUCAUCUCAACGGACUUAUAUGGUGUCCUAUCUAAAGUGAAUGCAGCUAUAUCUAAUGCAUAACCUCAAAAUAAUAGAGGUAGAUCAUAGAUCGCACCAUAUCUCAUAAGGUUCGAUUACGACGUCCGGACACACCAUUACCCUGUGGUGUUCCAGGUGGCUUCAACUGUGAAACAAUUCCACAAUGUCUUAAGUGUUUGCCAAACUCAUAACUCAGAAAUUCUCAUUGAUCAGAUCGUAGGAAUUUGAUCUUCUUGGUAUGAUGAUUCUUAACUUCACUCUGAAAUCGAUUGAACUUUUCAAACGUUUCAGACUUGUGCUUCAUUAAGUAAAUAUACCUAUAUCUACUCAAAUCGUCAGUGAAGAUGAGAAAAUAGCGAUAUCCACCGCACGCUUCAAUUCUCAUUGGAUCACACGCAUCAGCAUGUAUGAUUUCCAACAAGUCACUUGCCCGUUUCAUUGUACCUGAAAACAGGGUCUUAGUCAUCCUGCCCAUGAGGCAUGGCUCGCAUGUGUCAAGCGAUUCAAAAUCAAGUGACUCCAAACAUCCAUCGACAUGGAGUUUCUUCAUGCAUCUUACGCCAAUAUGACCUAAGCGGCAGUGCCACAAGAAAGUGGUACUAUCAUUAUUAACUCUACAUCUUUUGGCGUGAACAUGUGUAUUACUACGACUGAGAUUCAAUGUACCAUUCACAUAGGGUGCAUGACCAUGAAAGGUAUUAUUCAUGUAAACGGAAUAACCAUUAUUCUCUAAUUUAAAUGAAUAACCGUAUUGCAAUGAACAUGAUCUAAUCAUAUUCAUGCUCAACGUAGACACCUGAUAACAUUUAUCUAGGUUCAAUACUAAUCGCGAAGGCAGAUGGAGCGUGCGAUGGUGAUUUCAUCAACUUUAGAAACACUUCCAACACACAUUGUCACCUCGCCCUUAGCCAGUCUCCAUUUAGUCCGUAGCUUUUGCUUCAAGUCACCAAUAAUAGUAACUGUGUAUCCAAUACCCAGGUGCUAUCAGGAGUACUAGUGAGGUACACAUUAAUAACACGUAUAUACUUUGAAGUUUCUAGCCUUCUUAUCUACCAUGCAUUUGGGGUAAUUCCGCUACCAGUGACCGUUCCCCUUACAAUAGAAGCAUUUAGUCUCGGGUUUGGGUUCAACCUUGGGUUCCUUCACUGGUGCGGCAACUGGUUUGCCAUCCAUGAAGUUUCCCUUCUAGCCCUUGCCCUUCUUGAAACCAGUAGUCUUGUUAAACCAUCAACACUUGAUGCUCCUUCUUGAUUUCUACCUUUUGCGGUCUUAAGCACCGCGAACAGCUCCGGGAUCAAUUCCAUCCCUUGCAUGUCAUAGUUCAUCACGAAGAUCUAGUAGCUUAGUGAUAGUGUCUAGAGAACUCUAUCAAUCACUAUCUUAUCUAGAAGUUUAACUCCCACUUGAUUUAAGUGAUUGUAGAACCAAGACAUUCUGAGCACAUGCUCACUAGCUGAGCUAUUCUCCUCCAUCUUGUUGGCAAAAGAACUUGUCAGAGGUCUCAUACCUCUCAACACGGGCAUGAGCCUGAAAUCCCAAUUUCAGCUCUUGGAACAUCUCAUAUGUCUUAUGGCGUUCAAAACGUCAUUGGAAUCCCGAUUCUUAGCCGUAAAGUAUGGUGCACUAAACUAUCAAGUAGUCAUCAGGAUGUGUCUGUCAGGUGUUCACAACAUCCACAGACGACGUUGUAGGGGUUUGCACAUCGAGCGGUGCAUCAAAGACGUAAGCCUUCUGUGUAGCAGUGAGGACACUCCUCGGACUACGGACCUAGUCCGCAUCAUUGCUUACAAUAUCUUUCAACUUAAUCUUUCUCUAGGAACAUAUUGAAAUAGGGAGCUACAACGUGAGCUAUUUAUCUACAACAUAUUUGCAAAGACAAUUUAGACUAUGUUCAUGAUAAUUGAGUUCAUCUAAUCAAAUUAUUUAAUGAACUCCCACUCAGAUAGACAUCCCUCUAGUCAUCUAAGUGAAACAUGAUCCAGAUCGACUAGGCCAUGUCUGAUCAUCACGUGAGACGGACUAGUCAUCAACGGUGAACAUCUCAUGUUGAUCGUAUCUUCUAUACGACUCAUGUUCGACCUUUUGGUCUUCCGUGUUCCGAGGCCAUGUCUAUACAUGCUAGGCGCGUCAAGUCAACCUAAGUGUUUCGCAUGUGUCCCAAGGCCAUGUCUGUACAUGCUAGGCUCGUCAACACCCGUUGUAUUCGAACGUUAGAAUCUAUCACACCCGAUCUUCACGUGGUGCUUCGAAACAACGAACCUUCGCAACGGUGCACAGUUAGGGGGAACACUUUUAUUGAAAUUUUAGUGAGGGAUCAUCUUAUUUAAGCUACCGUCGUUCUAAGCAAAUAAGAUGUAAAACAUGAUAAACAUCACAUGCAAUCUAAUAGUGACAUGAUAUGGCCAAUAUCAUUUUUCUCCUUUUGAUCUCCAUCUUCGGGGCUCCACGAUCAUCGUCGUCACCAGCAUGACACCAUGAUCUCCAUCAUCGUGUCUUCUUGAAGUUGUCUUGUCAUCUAUUACUUCUACUACUAUGGCUAACGCUUUAGCAAUAAAGUAAAGUAAUUACAUGACGUUUAAGUUGACACGCAAACCGGAUACGUGUUGAUAUUAAACUGUGGAGUUGUCAGUUGGAGCAGUUCUAAACAGAGUGUCAUGGCGGGAUCUACAUGUGAAGCGGAGUACAUUGCUUCUUCGAAAGCAGCGAAUGAAGGAGUCUAGAUGAAGGAGUCCAUACCCGAUCUAGGUGUCAUACCUAGUGCAUCUCGGGUCCAAUGAAAAUCUUUUGUGACAAUACUGGUGCAAUUGCCUUGGCAAAGGAAUCUAGAUUUCACAAGAGAACCAAGCACAUCAAGAGACGCUUCAACUCCAUCCGGGAUCAAGUCCAGGUGGGAGACUGUCAGGACCCCGAUUCCAAGUCACAUCGAUCUAUCUGGUAACACCUCAUAUCACAUUACGGCCUCACACACAGUAUCCCACGGGUGUCGCCUUACCAUGGCCCGGGACCGUUUCCGCCUUUUGGCUCACGUAUAUGAUAGUGUCGCUAGCAUCCAUUUGACAGAGAACCCGGGCCGAAAUGGCUAGUCGUGAACCCAAAGCGGCACAGACCUAUGGAGACAGGCAUAAAUGAAUCACACCGAACAUGUCGGUCAUCAGCGAGUGAAUCCGGGCUGUAGCACUGGGCUAACAGGACUCCGGGGAACCCGGGCUGUAGCAGGCUAGGCAGGACUCCGGAUGUCACCGCGUGACAUUUCCCCGAAGGGACAGACAUAGGAACAAAGUGAAACACAUGCCGGCCAGUCAAGUGUCCAGAGCAGUAGUGCUGGGCUAGCAGGACUCCGGUGAACCGGGCUGUAGCGGACUACUAUCGCUCAGGAAACACUAGACUACAUUUCCCCAUAUGAGAGGCUGCCAAGGAUAAACAACUAGAUUGUCGGAUCCCGCUCAUACCGAGCAUUUCAAUCAUACACACAAUAUGCCCGAUAUGAGUGCAUACAACAUGGCAUCACAACAAAACUCUACAACUCAAGUACUUUCUUUAAAGGCUCCAGAGAGCCAUACAUAACAUGCUCGUAUAGGUAGGGGUCACACGACCCGACACUCAAGUCAUACAAUCAUACAAGCACAUGCGGAAGCAACUAGUCUAAGUACAGACACUAGAAAGAAAGAAGGCUUCUCGAAGCUUGUCUAUCUUCAUAGGGCCCUCCAUGGCCAGGAUCACCACCUGGGUGGCUAGUCACUCGUCGACAUCAAGGUCUACGUAGAACACAUCGGAGGGGGUGGUGUUGUCGUCUAAAAACAGUAAUUAAGCAAACAUGAGUACAAAGGUACUCAGCAAGUCUUACAACAGAACCUACUAUACAUGCUCAUUCUCAAGAAGGUGGUGGGGUUAUUGCAGCAAGCUAGCUUUGACUCUUGGCUAAGCUAUCCUACGAGACUCCACUAGUAAAAUAGUUUUCGCACACGAGUCCAGUACUCACCAACACAAUACUCCACCGGGGAUCCUCCCCCAUCAUCCUACGAGAGGGCCAUCCUCGGUACUCACACUUAUCUUGAGUCUUUUAGUAGUAACAAUUAACUUGUCUAUGAACUGUAUAGGCAACUAAUAGUCCUUUACUGCAGACGCGGAUAUUCAAAUAGUUUUAUACCCUGCAGGGGUGUACUUCUUCAUACACGCUUUCACCACUUACCAUCGUUUACACAACAUGUACUCGGCAACCUUCAAGUGGAAGCCCAACGAGGGUGUCGGCCACGGCCUACCUAAACACUUAAGUCUCUAGUCCAGGUUUAUCGCCUAUCCAGGUUCCAUCCACAGGGAGUCCGGCCGAGGUUUCCACAUACGGCCCCGAACGAUGUGAACAGGGUCCCGAGACGCCAAACGGGCGCCCGGCAUACCCGGCCAUGGUGUAUCUACCGCAACAUAGCCCACCCCUAGGGUCAGCGCUAUGCACGGCCGCCAACACAUAACCAACAAACACCAGAAACUAUUUGCAACUCCUGGACAGAGUACUAGGGUGAUUAAGAAGCCGAGAGGGUCAAUUAAGGAUCCCAAUGCAUGGUAGUAGCUGAUUCUUAAAAUCACACAUACAGAUCUCAGUUCUUAGGGACGACCUCAAUGAAACAAUCCACCAUGUACUCCUACAUGGCCUCUCAUCGAUACAUUUACCAAUUCAUGUUCAACACAUCCCUAACAUUACCGGCAUAGUCAUUUCACUCUAGCUCAUCACCCGGAUGAACUAGACCUGACACAACUCUAAGCAUAGUAGGCAUAGCAAGGUAGGAAUGACAUACAUGGCUCAAUCAACUCCUACACAUGCUAGUGGGUUUCAACUAGUUACUGUGGCAAUGACAGGUCAUGCAGAGGAUAAGGGUUCAACUACCGUAGCACACAGCAGUUUGAAUCGCGUUGUCUUAAUGCAGUAAACAAGACCAGAAGCGAGAACAUGGGAUUGUAUCAGAAUGAUCAAUGGGUUUCUUGCCUGAUGUAGUGGUAGUAGGGUACUUCCCUUCAGACGGAUACUCGGGGUUAUCCUCGGAGGCAGAACCUACCACGAAAGACACACCGAAACAUAAUCAACACAUGACAAUAUGCAACAAUAUGAUGCAUUCUAUGACAUGGCAAAGUGAAUGUGUCCUGUUCUAAUGCAAGCUAAAACAGAAAGGAAUGAACUCAUUUGAAUCAAAGAUUCAAAUGUUAGUUCAUUUAACGUAGCCUUAUUAGUGCAUUAUCUCAUUUUGCUUAAACAGCAAGGUUAACUUGUUUUGUCAUGCAUGAAAACAUUACAGAUGGAUAGAUUGAAUUUUUUUUAUCAUUUUUCAUAUAUAACUUGUUUGAUUUGGAGCUAUGGUUGAUUUGCUAUGAUUUUUAGAAGUUUUGGCUAUUUUCUGGAAUUUCCUAUUAAAGAAUAAAUCCAGUAAUUGAAUUAAUGCGUCAGCAUUACAUAGGUGUGACGUCAGCGGGUCAACUGGGUCGGCCAGGUCAAACCUGACUGGUGGGCCCUGUCUGUCAGUGACUCAGCUAAUUAGCAGGAUUAAAUUAACACUAAUUAACUGUCGGUGGGGCCUGGGCCCACAUGUCAGUGACUAAACUAAUUAAAAUUAGUUAGUAUUAAUCCUAAACUAAUUAGCAGGCCAGCCCCACCUGUCAUAGACUCAGGGGAAGGUUAACCUGGGCCCACACGGGGUCAAACAGGGUCAACUCGCCGGCGUUUAGCCGCCGGCGAGGCCAGACGCGGCGGAGCAGCGCGGGUUUUGCACCCCGGCGACCAAAAGGACGGCGGAGACCAUCUACGUGAUGCGGGGAGGGAGCCGCGUCGAGUGGUGGCAGUGCAUGGAGCUGGGGUGGCCGGAAACGUCACCGGCGACGAGUUUGGCGGUGGCCGGAGCUCGGGUAAGGUUGAACUAGUCGCUAGGGGGCACGGGGAGGCGCGUGGUUUGGUGCAUUGAGCUCCUGGGGGUGCGGUAGGGCUAGUGGAUAGGGUGGCGUGGCCAUUGGGUGGCCGGAGCCUUGUCGGCGACAAGCUCCGUGGCGGUGCGUGCGGGUGAGCUACGUGCGGUCGCUACGGGGCUCGAGAGAGGGAACGGUGAGGGUGGGAAGAUGGCUGAGCUCACGGGGGUCACGUCGAGGUAGUCGGCGAGGUCGGGGAUGAGCUGAUGUGGCGGGAACGGCGAAGGGGAUCUCCGGUGGCCGGAGUUGAAGACGAGCUCGAUGCAGCGUCUCCGAGGCGAGCGAGCGCUCGGGGCUUGGCCUACUCGAUGUAAUCGACGACUACGGAGCUCGUGGACACGAUGGCGUGGCGCGAGGAUGACAGAGGGCGCGGCUACGAUGAUGGUGCGGCGACAGGGGCGUCCGCCACGGUGGGGAACAGCGAGGGAGAGAGACAGGGGGGGAAUGGCAUGUCCAGGGGCUUCGGUGUGCGACGUGGAGGCGUCUAGGCGUCCAAGGGCAUGGGCGGCAAGCAGGUGGCGCCGUGGAAAGCUCAGGCACGCCGGUGUCACCUCCUUGCCUGCCUGGCGGGGAAGAAGCAACUGGCUAGCGCGGGCCAGCACAGUGCUAGGCUGCCAGGUGGGCCGGCUAGUGGGUUAGGUGGGCUGCGCCAGGUAAGUUCCUCUCUCUCUCUCUCUCUCUUUCUGUUUUUCAUUUAUUCUAUUAUUUCUGUAGCUUCAGGGCUUUAUUAAAAAUGCCAGGGCAUUUCCAUAAAUCAUAAAAUUAAUCAUGGCUACUGCUUAGAAUAUAUACAACAACAAACAUUUUAGUUUAUGAUUAUUUGAGCAUUUAAAAUAUUUUAUAGCAUUUAAAUGCCCAAAUGCAAAUAUUGUAAGAAUUAAUCCAAUGACCUUAAGAUGUCCUAGAAAAAUGUGCACCAUUUUUGUCAAAGGUUUUAACCCAAAACAAAAAGGGUGGGCUUUUUAGAAGGGCAUUUCAGGUUCAUUGAAAAAGUUUUUAGUAAACCCUAGUUGUUCUAGGGGGGUGCUGGGGGUUCUGUCAUCCCCAUUUCAAAUUUAAGAGAAAUUUAAACAUGAUGCACACUCUAAUGCUUGAACUAGCUAGGGUGUGACAACUCACCCCCACUCAAAAGAAUCUCGUCCCGAGAUUUAGGAUCCUCCGAGAAGAAGGUGGGGUACUCGAGUAAAAGACGAUCCUCCCUUUCCCAAGUGGCUUCUUUCUCAGAAUGGUGCGACCAUUGAAUCUUGAGAAACUUGAUAUUAUGGCGUCGAGUGGUACGCUCGGCUUGAUCAAGGAUACGAACAGGAUAUUCCCGAUAUGAGAGGUUAUCUUGUAGAUCAAGCAUUUCGUGGUCCACUCCACGGAUGGGAUCCGCGAAGCAACGCCUGAGUUGUGAAACGUGGAAGACAUUGUGAACUCUGGAAAGAUGCAAGGUAGUUCCAAUUGGUAGGCAACUUCUCCUCGUUUGGCAAGAAUGCGAAAGGGUCCAAUGUAACGAGGAGCCAAUUUGCCUUUGAUACCGAAACGAUGGGUUCCCUUUAACGGAGUAACCCGAAGGUAAGCCUUCUCGCCGACUUCAUAAGUCAUGAGCUUAUGUUUAUGAUCAUAUUGGCUCUUUUGACGAGAUUGGGUUGUUUUCAAUUUCUCACGAAUAACGCGAACCUGCUCUUCUGCUUCCUGAAUCAUAUCCGGGCCAAAGAGUUGCCUCUCCCCGAUUUCUGACCAGUUAAGAGGCGUUCGACAUUUUCGUCCAUAGAGAACUUCGAAAGGAGCUUUGCCCAAGCUAGCUUGAUAACUAUUGUUAUAAGCAAACUCCGCGAAUGGAAGGCAUUUCUCCCAACUCAUUCCGAAAGAGAUGACAGAAGCUCGGAGCAUAUCUUCCAGAAUUUGAUUGACCCGCUCUACUUGACCACUUGAUUGAGGAUGGAAGGCGGUUCUAAAAGAGAGACGAGUUCCCAUAGCAUUUUGGAAACUCUCCCAAAAACGAGAGGUGAAGAGACUCCCACGGUCUGAGUUAAUUUCCAAUGGGACACCAUGAAGAGACACUAUUCAGGAGAUGUAUAAAUCAGCUAGCUGGCUAGCAGUGAUACUCUCACGAACUGGUAGGAAAUGGGAUACUUUGGAAAGACGGUGGAUCACGACGAAGAUGGCAUUAUUCCCUCUCUUAGUCCUGGGAAACCCAGUGAUGAAAUCCAUACUGAUUUUAUCCCAUUUCCACUCAGGAAUAGCCAAAGGUUGAAGGGUGCCAGCAGGCCGUUGAUGCUCUGCUUUAACACGACGACAAACAUCGCAAUUAGCAAUGUAUUGAGCGAUUUCUCUCUUCAUCCUAGUCCACCAAAACCUCUGGCGUAGGUCUUGAUACAUUUUAGUACUACCGGGAUGAAUGGUCAGAGGGGAUUCAUGAGCAUCCUUAAGGAUCAACUGGCGUAAAUGUUGUUUCUUGGGAACCACCAAGCGGUUCUCGAAGAAGACAACAUCUCGCUCAUCCAUGGAAAAACAUUUGGCAACUCCGCUAGCGAUGUUUUCCUUAAUCCGGAUAUGCCCUUAUCAUACUGCUGGGCGGUUAUGAUCUGACCCAUAAGGUUAGGCUUCGCCACCAGGGUGGAUAGGAAUCCUCGAGGAACAAUGUGAAGAUUAAUCUUACGAAAUUCCUCAUGGAGAAGUGGUUGACUUUGUUGUAACAUCAGGUUGUUACAAUAGGAUUUAUGACUUAGUGCAUCAGCCAUGACAUUGGCUUUGCCCGGGGUGUAAGUUAUUCCUAAGUCGUAAUCUGAGAUCAACUCGACCCAACGUCGUUGCCUGAGAUUCAAAUCUGGUUGGGUCUAGAUAUAUUUCAAACUUUGGCGAUCGGUGAAGAUCUCGCAAUGAUUACCGAGGAGGUAAUGUCGCCAACUUUUAACUGCAUGGACUACAGCUGCAAGCUCUAGAUCAUGUGUGGGAUAAUUUUCCUCAUGUGGGUGUAAUUGCCGUGAAGCAUAGGCAAUUACCCGACGAUCUUGCAUGAGCAUGCAACCUAGUCCUUGUCGCGAGGCGUCGCAAUAGAUAAUAAAGUCCUUGGAGAAAUCUGGUGGUACCAGUACGGGAGCAGAUGUCAGGCGUCUUUUCAGUUCCUGAAAGCUGAACUCGCACUAUGGAGUCCACUCGAACUUUUUAUCUUUCUUGAGGAGUUCAGUUAGAGGUUUCGCAACCUUGGAGAAAUUCUCGACGAAGCGGCGGCAGUGGCUUGCUAAGCCAAGGAAGCUCCAAACUUGCUUGACCGUCUCAGGUGGAGUCCAAUCAAGGACGGCUUGACCUCGCUCGAGAUUGACAGCAAUACCCUUACCAGAGAUUACAUGGCCUAGAUAGGUCACUUCUGGCAACCAAAAUUCACACUUGGAGAAUUUGGCAUAAAGGCGAUGCUCUCGAAGUUUCGUCAAUAACAGCCUUAGAUGUUCGGCAUGUUCCUCUUCAUUCUUGGAGUAGAUGAGUAUGUCAUCGAGGUAUACUAUGACGAAUUUAUCCAAAUACUCCAUGAAGACCGAGUUCAUUAACCAAGAGAAGGUGGCUGGGGCAUUGCUUAGACCGAAGGACAUAACGGUGUACUCGUAUUGGCCAUAGCGAGUAACAAAGGCCGUUUUGGGAAUGUCCCCGUUUCUGAUUUUGAUUUGAUGGUAGCCCAACCUCAAAUCCAUCUUAGAAAAGACUGAGGAUCCAGUGAGCUGAUCAUACAGAUCAUUGAUCCCGGGAAGCGGAUACUUGUUCUUGAUGGUGACCAGGUUGACGGGUCGGUAAUCUACAACCAUCCGGUCUGUUCCAUCCUUAUUUUUGACAAAGUGGACGGGGCAAGCCCAAGGAGAGGAACUAGGAUGGAUGAAACCCUUUUUCAAGGACUCAUCGAGUUGGUUCUUAAGCUCGGCUAGUUCUAAGGGUGCCAUCUUAUAGGGUCUUCUAGAAAUUGGAACGGUUCCUGGAACAAGGUCUAUCACAAACUCGACAUCCCUGUCAGGUGGAACACCUGGUAGUUCUUCUAGAAAGACAUCCAGAAAGUCUCAGACUACCAGAACAUCCUCAAGGUCUGGAAGGGGGUUGGCAUUUAGGGAGUAAAGCUGGCGCUUGGCCACUCGGGUUAAGACAUUGACUGUCUUGCCCGAUGGGUGAGUAAGUUGAACGGUUCUAGUGGCACAAUCAAUCUUAGCAUAAUGAGCUGACAUCCAGUCAAUACUCAAGAUGAUGUUUAUGUCCGAGGACUUGAGAGCUAUUAAGGAUGCAAGGAAGACAAGUCUAUCGACAAGAAUUUCGUUCCCAUGGCUUACUCUAGAAGUUUGGCAUCUAGAGCCAGGGGUUUGAAUUUCCAUGGUAGCGGGCAUGUCACAGAAUGUCGUGUUAUGCAAUCGAGCAUAGUUCUCGGAUAUGAAUGAAUGAGAUGCUCAAGUAUCAAAAAGAACAAAUGCCGGAUGGCAAUUAACAAGGAGCAUACCAAGGACGACAUUAGGAUCCUCAUGAGCCUCCUCGGCUGAGACAUAGUUAACAUGGCCAUGUGUAGUGGUGACCGGCUUAGCGUAGAUUGUCUUUCUCGCUGGCUUACCACAACCAACGGACUUUCCAGACUGAUUCGGGUUGUUGUUUUGAGGACACUCUCGGCUAUAGUGACCCGGCUCUCCACACUUAAAACAUGUCACAACAUUGGGGCGUGGAGCAGAAUUAGCAGCGGGGCCACCAUAGGGAUUGGGCGGUGCAAAAUGCUGGUUGGGAUGAGGCACCUCAAAGGAUGGACUCGGAAUGAACCUGGGUGGCAGUGCCGUGCUUGGAAUCCACACCCGACGCUUCUGAGAUCCAGAGCCGGAUGAAGAGCCAAAAUCACGAUUGUGCUUGCAUGAAGCGUCAUAAUCAGUCUAGCCUGUCUCAGCGCUGAUGGCUUUAUUGACCAACUUCUGAAAGGAGGUGCACUCAUGCAGACGAAGAUCGCGGCGAAGCUCAGGGCUAAGUCCCUUGCGGAACCUUGCCUGCUUCUUACCGUCGGUAGAUACUUCUUCAGGAGCAUAACAUGCCAGAUUCCCAAAUUCACGACUAUAUGCAUCCACAGUCAGUCUUCCUUGGGUUAAAUUGCAGAACUCCUCCCUCUUGCGAUCUAUGAGACCUUCCGGAAUGUGAUGCUCACGGAAAGCCUCACUGAAUUCAUCCCAAGUAGUGAUUUGGCCGACCGGGCGCAUGGCUUCAAAAUUUUCCCACCAAAGGCUAGCAGGGCCUUCGAGGUGAUAGGCAGCAUAAGUAACCUUAUCAGCUUUGGCUACGUUGGCAGAACGUAGCUUGUGGGUGAUGCUGCGAAGCCAGUCAUCCGCGUCGAGGGGCUCGAUGGAAUGGUUAAACUUUGGUGGGUACAGCUUGAUAAAGUCAUUGAUUGACACCAAGUCAUUUCGCUGAUGGUGUGCAGUGUUCUGCUCAAUCUGCUCCAACAAGUGGUUAGUCUCACGCUUGUUUCUUUCCGCCUCCAGCAACACUUCGGCCAGAGAAGGCGGGUGAGGCAGAUUUUCACCCCUAACUGCACUGGCUUCCCCCUGCUCCGGGGCAGCAGGGUAGCUGCGGGUGUUGACCAUCCUAGGGAAAAACAAGACAACGGUUUAGAUAGGGAUGGCACAAACUUAGCAAGGAAGUGCAGAAUGCAAUGGAUAACACGGAAUGCAGAGAUGUUCAUCCGUAUGUCAUGGUAAUAUAGAACUGCCAUAUAUAUACCAACGGUCAUACACACCGUACAUAGUUUAAUACAAGCCCAGGCUACAGUACAACUAUGAUGAAAGACGUUACAUCUCAUCGGAGGCAUUCCAAGCUCCUAUACAUUAUUUGUCUACACCUCCGGGAUUGAUUACACACAAAGUCAUAUUCCACAAGUCAUGCAGGACAAUGGAGAUACAACUAUUACAAUACUAGUGGUACUACUACUAACUCAGACAGCUCUGUAGUAGUCCUCAUAGAAGUCACCUCCAUAGCCUGGAAGUUCAACAUGAUCAUCCGAGAACAGACGGUCCUGAGGAGCUUGUGGACCAAAGGGGCUAGGAUGAGGUCUUGGACCAACAAACAGUGGCCUGCGGGGACCACGGGGUGGGGUGAUGCCUCCCACAUCACGCCAAUCCACCAUGUCCGGCAGAGCAGAUCUCACAGGAUAUAGAUCCCUUGUAUUCAUCCAUCCAGCUUGCACCGCAGGUGCAAACCGAGUCAAAGUGGCCCAAUGAUCAGCACGGGUGUUGAAAAGCUCCAGCCUCAAGGCCCGGUUCUCUUGGUCCUUAUCCUCGAGCAUCUCGGCAGUGGUACGAGUUAGUGAGUCCUCCUGAGUGGAGUCAGCAUAGAUAGCCUGGAGAUACCCUUGCGCUCCCGGAAGUGAAGCUGGCAUGUAACAGAAGUCGGUGUUCCGAAGCAGGCUAGUCCGGACUCGCAUGAUGGUCAUCAUGGAAUAGGCAGCAUCCUGCACAGCCAUCUCAACAGUAACCCCGAGUCCAUAGGAACAGUGGAGGGGCUCGGUAGAUCCGGGAUAAGAAGGAAAUAUCCUAACGGUGCAGAAAUAUUGGCUUUGAUUAAAAUCUCAGAAUUGCUCUUUGACAGUGUAUUCGGGAUACCAACGGUAACCUGUCUCGAUCAUUACCCGAACUAACAUAGCAGUAUGACCGGGCACAUAGAGGCACCGGGUCAGGCGAACCACUUGGUUUUGAGCAUGAGUGGCCAUCUGAAAGCACAACCACAAUGCAAGGACAUUAGAAAUUCUAGGGAAAAUUGGACAGCAUAACAACUGUAAAUGCUCAGAAAAAGAUUUGAGACAUCCACAACAGUUUGCAAUACCACUCAACAACGUCAUAUCAAGGUUCUGAUUCAACUGGCAACAUACUAAAAGUAGAAGAAACUAUACUGAGUCUUGUAACAACAAUCCUAUAAGCUACUACAGAUUAGUAACACGUGAACCUGAUAGAAAAAGAGAGCCUAGUUCUUAACCCACGUUGAAUGAGAAGAGAAUGACUCAGAUCAGAGGGCAUAAGGUAAAGAAGUAAAAGAUCCUUACGUUCCCGCCCACAAUCAAUUCCCCUACAUAUAACUAAAGCAUUUCUAGACUCGACAUCGACCAGUUUGGCUCAACGAACCUACAGGCAGUCCGGCUCUGAUACCAACGCUGUCAGGACCCCGAUUCCAAGUCACAUCGAUCUAGCCGGUAACACCUCAUAUCACAUUGUGGCCUCAUGCAUGGUAUCCCAUGGGUGUCGCCUUACCAUGGCCUGGGACCGUUUGCGCCUUUUGGCUCACGUAUAUGAUAGUGUGGCUAGCAUCCAUUUGACAGAGAACCCGGGCCGACAUGGCUAGUCGUGACCCCAAAGCGGCACAGACCUAUGGAGACAGGCAUACAUGAAUCACAUCGAACAUGUCGGUCAUCAGCGAGUGAAUGCGGGCUGUAGCACUGGGCUAACAGUACUUCGGGGAACCCGGGCUGUAGCAGGCUAGGCAGGACUCCGGAUGUCACCGCCUGACAUAUCCCCGAAGGGACAGACAUAGGAACGAAGUGAAACACAAGCCAGCCAGUCAAGUGUCUAGAGCAGUAGUGUUGGGCUAGCAGGACUCCGGUGAACCGGGCUGUAGCGGACUACUAUCGCUCAGGAAACACUAGACUACAUUUCCCCAUAUGAGAGGCUGCCAAGGAUAAACAACUAGAUUGUCGGAUCCCGCUCAUACCGAGCAUUUCAAUCAUACACACAAUAUGCCCGAUAUGAGUGCAUACAACAUGGCAUCACAACAAAACUCUACAACUCAAGUACUUUAUUUAAAGGCUCCAGAGAGCCAUACAUAACAUGUUCAUACAGGUAGGGGUCACACGACCCGACACUCAAGUCAUACAAUCAUACAAGCACAUGCGGAAGCAACUAGUCUGAGUACAGACACUAGAAAGAAAGAAGGCUUCUCAAAGCCUGUCUAUCUACAUAGGGCCCUCCAUGGCUAGGAUCACCACCUGGGUGGCUAGUCACUCGUCGACAUCAAGGUCUACCUAGUACCCAUCGGAGGGGGCGGUGUUGUCGUCUGAAAACAGUAAUUAAGCAAACAUGAGUACAAAGGUACUUAGCAAGUCUUACAACAGAACCUACUAUACAUGCUCAUUCUCAAGAAGGUGGUGGGGUUAUUGCAGCAAGCCAGCUUUGACUCUUGGCUAAGCUAUGCUACGAGACUCCACUAGUAAAAUAGUUUUCGCACACAAGUCCAGUACUCACCAACACAAUACUCCACCGGGGAUCCUCCCUUGUCAUCCUACAAGAGGGCCAUCCUCGGUACUCACACUUAUCUUGAGUCUUUUAGUAGUAACCAUUAACUUGACUAUGAACUGUAUAGGCAACUAAGUAGUCCUUUACUGUGGAUGCGGAUAUUCGAAUAGUUUUAUACCCUGCAGGGGUGUACUUCUUCAUACAUGCUUUCACCACUUACCGCCGUUUACACGACAUGUACUCGGCAACCUUCAAGCGGAAGCCCAACGAGGGUGUCGGCCACGGCCUACCUAAACACUUAAGUCUCUAGUCCAGGUUUAUUGCCUAUCCAGGUUCCAUCCGCAGGGAGUCCAGUUGAGGUUUCCACAUACGGCCCCGAACGAUGUGAACAGGGUCCCGAGACGCCAAACGGGCGCCCGGCAUACCCAGCCACGGUGUAUCUACCACAACAUAGCCCACCCCUAGGGUCAGUGCUACGCACGGCCGCCAACACAUAACCUACAAACACCAGAAACUAUUUGCAACUCCUGGACAAAGUACUAGGGUGAUUAAGAAGCCGAGAGGGUCAAUUAAGGAUCCCAAUGCAUGGUAGUAGCUGAUUCUUAAAAUCACACAUACAGAUCUCAGUUCUUAGGGACGGCCUCAAUGAAACAACCCACCGUGUACUCCUACAUGGCCUCUCAUUGAUACAUUUACCAAUUCAUGUUCAACACAUCCCUCACAUUACCGACAUAAUCAUUUAACUCUAGCUCAUCACCCGGAUGAACCAGACCUGACACAACUCUAAGCAUAGCAGGAAUAGCAAGGUAGGAAUCACAUACAUGGCUCAAUCAACUCCUACACAUGCUAGUGGGUUUCAACUAGUUAUUGUGGCAAUGACAGGUCAUGCAGAGGAUAAGGGUUCAACUACCGUAGCACACAGCAGUUUGGAUCACGUUGUCUUAAUGCAGUAAACAAGAGCAGAAGCGAGAACAUGGGAUUGUAUCAGAAUGAUCAAUGGGUUGCUUGCCUGAUGUAGUGGUAGUAGGGUACUUCCCUUCCGAAGGAUACUCGGGGUUAUCCUCGGAGGCAGAACCUACCACGAAAGACACACCGAAAUAUAAUCAACACAUGACAAUAUGCAACAAUAUGAUGCAUUCUAUGACAUGUCAAAGUGAAUGUGUCCUGGCCUAAUGCAAGCUAAAACAGAAAGGAAUGAACUCAUUUAAAUCAAAGAUUCAAAUGUUAGUUCAUUUAACAUAGCCUUAUUAGUGCAUUAUCUCAUUGUGCUUAAACAGCAAGGUUAACUUGUUUUGUCAUGCAUGAAAACAUUACAGAUGGAUAGAUUGAAUUUUUCUGAUCAUUUUUCAUAUAUAACUUGUUUGAUUUGGAGCUAUGGUUGAUUUGCUAUGAUUUUUAGAAGUUUUGGCUAUUUUCUGGAAUUACCUAUUAAAGAAUAAAUCCAGUAACUAAAUUAAUGCGUCAGCAUGACAUAGGUGUGACGUCAGCGGGUCAACUGGGUCGGCCAGGUCAAACCUGACUGGUUGGCCCUGUCUAUUAGUGACUCGGCUAAUUAGCAGGAUUAAAUUAACACUAAUUAACUAUCAGUGGGGCCUCGGCCCACAUGUCAGUGACUAAACUAAUUAAAAUAAGUUAGUAUUAAUCCUAAACUAAUUAACAGGCCGGCCCCACCUGUCAUAUACUCAGGGGGAGGUCAACCUGGUCUCACACGGGGUCAAACAGGGUCAACUCUCCGGCGUUUAGCCGCCGGCGAGGCCAGACGCGGCGGAGCAGCUCGUGUUUUGCACUCCGGCGACCAAAAGGACGGCAGAGACCAUCUACAUGGCGGGGAGGGAGCCGCGUCAAGUGGUGGCAGUGGAUGGAGCUGGGGUGGCCGGAAACAUCGCCGACGACGAGUUUGGCGGUGGCCGGAGCUCGGGUAAGGUUGAACUAGUCGCUAGGGGGCACAGGGAGGCGCGUGGUUUGGUGCGUUGAGCUCCUGGGGGUGCGGUAGGGCUAGUUGACAGGGUGGCACAGCCAUUGGGUGGCCGAAGCCUCGUCGGCGACGAGCUCCGCGGCGGUGCGUGCGGGUGAGCUACGUGCGGUCGCUACGGGGCUCGAGAGAGGGAACGGUGAGGGUGGGAAAGUGGCUGAGCUCACGGGGGCACGUCGAGGCAGUCGGCGAGGUCGGGGAUGAGCUGAUGCGGCGGGGACUGUUGGGGAAUGUAGUAAUUUCAAAAAAUUCCUACGCACACGCAAGAUCAUGGUGAUGCAUAGCAACGAGAGGGGAGAGUGCGAUAUACGUACCCUUGUAGACCGACAGCAGAAGCGUUAGCACAACACGGUUGAUGUAGUCGUACGUCUUCACGGCCCGACCGAUCAAGCACCGAAACUACGGCACCUCCGAGUUUUAGCACACGUUCAGCUUGAUGACGAUCCCCGGACUCCGAUCCAGCAAAGUGUCGGGGAAGAGUUCCGUCAGCACGACGGCGUGGUGACGAUCUUGAUGUACUACCGUCGCAGGGCUUCGCUUAAGCACCGCUACAAUAUUAUCAAGGAUUAUGGUGGAAGGGGGCACCGCACACGGCUAAGAAUAUGAUCAUGUGGAUCAACUUGUGUCUAGGGGUGCCCCCUGCCCCCGUAUAUAAAGGAGCAAGGGGAGGAGGCCGGCCGGCCCUAUAGGCGCGCCAAGGAUGAGUCCUCCUCCUAGUAGGAGUAGGACUCCUACUAGGAGGGGGAAGGGAGUGGGGAGGGAGAAGGAAAGGGGGGCGCCGCCCCCCCUCUCCUAGUCCAAUCCGGACCAGGGGGGAGGAGGCGCGCGGCCCACCCUUGCUGCCCCUCUCUCUCUCCACUAAGGCCCAUAUGGCCCAUUACUUCUCCCUGUAUGGUUCCGGUAACCCUCCGGCUCUCCGGUUUUCUCCUAAAUCACCCGGAACACUUCUGGUGUCCGAAUAUAGCCGUGCAAUAUAUCAAUCUUUAUGUCUCGACCAUUUCGAGACUCCUCGUUAUGUCCCUUAUCACAUCUGGGACUCCGAACGAACUUCGGUAGAUCAAAACUCACAAACUCAUAAUAUAACUGUCAACGAAACCUUAAGCGUGCGGACCCUACGGGUUCGAGAACAAUGUAGACAUGAACAAGACACAUCUCCGGUCAAUAACCAAUAGCGGAACCUGGAUUCUCAUAUUGUCUCCUACAUAUUCUACGAAGAUCUUUAUCGGUCAGACCGCAUAACAACAUACGUUGUUCCCUUUGUCAUCAGUAUGUUACUUGCCCGAGAUUCGAUCGUCGGUAUCUCAAUACCUAGUUCAAUCUCGUUACCGGCAAGUCUCUUUACUGGUUUCAUAAUACAUCAUCUCGCAACUAACUCAUUAGUUGCAAUGCUUGCAAGGCUUAUGUGAUGUGCAUUACCGAGAGGGCCCAGAGAUACCUCUCCGACAAUCGGAGUGACAAAUCCUAAUCUCGAAAUACGCCAACCCAACAUGUACCUUUGGAGACACCUGUAGAGCUCCUUUAUAAUCACCCAGUUACGUUGUGACGUUUGGUAGCACACAAAGUGUUCCUCCGGCAAACGGGAGUUGCAUAAUCUCAUAGUCAUAGGAACAUGUACAAGUCAUGAAGAAAGCAAUAGCAACACACUAAACGAUCGGGUGCUAAGCUAAUGGAAUGGGUCAUGUCAAUCACAUCAUUCUCCUAAUAAUGUGAUCCCGUUAAUCAAAUGACAACACAUGUCUAUGGUUUGGAAACAUAACCAUCUUUGAUUAACGAGCUAGUCAACUAGAGACAUACUAGUGACGUUUAGUUUGUCUAUGUAUUCAGACAAGUAUUAUGUUUCCGGAUAAUACAAUUCUAGCAUGAAUAAUAAACAUUUAUCAUGAUAUAAGGAAAUAAAAUAAUAACAUUAUUAUUCUGUCUAGGGCAUAUUUCCUUCAGUCUCCCACUUGCACUAGAGUCAAUAAUCUAGAUUACACAGUAAUGAUUCUAACACCCAUGGAGCUUUGGUGCUGAUCAUGGUUUGCUCGUGGAAGAGGCUUAGUCAACGGGUCUGCAACAUUCAGAUCCGUAUGUAUCUUGCAAAUCUCUAUGUCUCCCACCUGGACUAGAUCCCGGAUGGAAUUGAAGCGUCUCUUGAUGUGCUUGGUUCUCUUGUGAAAUCUGGAUUCCUUUGCCAAGGCAAUUGCACCAGUAUUGUCACAAAAGAUUUUCAUUGGACCCGAUGCACUAGGUAUGACACCUAGAUCGGAUAUGAACUCCUUCAUCCAGACUCCUCCGUUUGCUGCUUCCGAAGCAGCUAUGUACUCCGCUUCACAUGUAGAUCCCGCCACAAUGCUUUGUUUAGAACUGCACCAACUGACAGCUCCACCAUUUAAUGUAAACACGUAUCUGGUUUGUGAUUUAGAAUCGUCCGGAUCAGUGUCAAAGCUUGCAUCAACGUAACCAUUUACGAUGAGCUCUUUGUCACCUCCAUAUAUGAGAAACAUAUCCUUAGUCCUUUUUAGGUAUUUUAGGAUGUUCUUGACCGCUGUCCAGUGAUCCACUCCUGGAUUACUUUGGUACCUGCCUGCUAGACUUAUAGCAAGACACACAUCAGGUCUGCUACAUAGCAUUGCAUACAUGAUAGAGGCUAUGGCUGAAGCAUAGGGAACAUCUUUCAUUUUCUCUCUAUCUUUUGCAUUGGUCGGGCAUUGAGUCUUACUCAAUUUCACACCUUGUAACACAGGCAAGAAUCCUUUCUUUGCUUGAUCCAUUUUGAACUUUUUCAAAACUUUGUCAAGGUAUGUGCUUUGUGAAAGUCCAAUUAAGCGUCUUGAUCUGUCUCUAUAGAUCUUAAUGCCCAAUAUGUAAGCAGCUUCACCGAGGUCUUUCAUUGAAAAACUCUUAUUCAAGUAUCCCUUUAUGCUAUCCAGAAAUUCUAUAUCAUUUCCGAUUAGUAAUAUGUCAUCUACAUAUAAUAUCAGAAAUGCUAUAGAGCUCCCACUCACUUUCUUGUAAAUACAGGCUUCUCCAAAAGUCUGUACAAAACCAAAUGCUUUGAUCACACUAUCAAAGCGUUUAUUCCAACUCCGAGAGGCUUGCACCAGUCCAUAAAUGGAUCGCUGGAGCUUGCACACUUUGUUAGCUCCCUUUGAAUCGACAAAACCUUCCGGCUGCAUCAUAUACAACUCUUCUUCCAGAAAUCCAUUCAGGAAUGCAGUUUUGACAUCCAUCUGCCAAAUUUCAUAAUCAUAAAAUGCGGCAAUUGCUAACAUGAUUUGGACAGACUUAAGCAUCGCUACGGGUGAGAAGGUCUCAUCGUAGUCAACCCCUUGUACUUGUUGAAAACCUUUUGCGACAAGUCGAGCUUUGUAGACAGUAACAUUACCGUCAGCGUCAGUCUUCUUCUUAAAGAUCCAUUUAUUCUCAAUUGCUUGCCGAUCAUUGGGCAAGUCAACUAAAGUCCAUACUUUGUUCUCAUACAUGGAUCCCAUCUCAGAUUUCAUGGCUUCAAGCCAUUUUGCGGAAUCUGGCUCACCAUCGCUUCUCCAUAGUUCAUAGGUUCAUCAUGAUCUAGUAGCAUGACUUCCAGAACAGGAUUACCAUACCACUCUGGUGCGGAUCUUACUCUGGUUGAUCUAUGAGGUUCAGUAGUAUCUUGUUCUGAAGCUUCAUGAUCAUCAUCAUUAGCUUCCUCACUAAUUGGUGUCGGUGUCACAGAAACUGGUUUCUGUGAUGUACUACUUUCCAAUAAGGGAGCAGGUACAGUUACCUCAUCAAGUUCUACUUUCCUCCCACUCACUUCUUUCGAGAGAAACUCCUUCUCUAGAAAGUUUCCGAAUUUAGCAACAAAAUUUUUGCCUUCGGAUCUGUGAUAGAAGGUGUAUCCAAUAGUUUCCUUUGGAUAUCCUAUGAAGACACAUUUCUCCGAUUUGGAUAUCAGGUUGAAGCUUUUUCACAUAAGCAUCGCAACCCCAAACUUUCAGAAAUGACAACUUUGGUUUCUUGCCAAACCAUAGUUCAUAAGGCGUCGUCUCAACGGAUUUUGAUGGUGCCCUAUUUAACGUGAAUGCGGCCGUCUCUAGAGCAUAACCCCAAAACGAUAGCGGUAAAUCAGUAAGAGACAUCAUAGAUCACACCAUAUCAAGUAAAGUACGAUUACGACAUUCGGACACACCAUUACGUUGUGGUGUUCUGGGUGGCGUGGGUUGCAAAACUAUUCCGCAUUGUUUCAAAUGUACACCAAACUCGUAACUCAAAUAUUCUCCUCCACGAUCAGAUCGUAGGAAUUUUAUUUUCUUGUUACGAUGAUUUUCAACUUCACUCUAAAAUUCUUUGAACUUUUCAAACGUUUCAGACUUGUGUUUCAUUAAGUAGAUAUACCCAUAUCUGCUUAAGUCAUCUGUGAAGGUGAGAAAAUAACGAUAUCCGCCACGAGCCUCAAUAUUCAUCAGACCACAUACAUCUGUAUGUAUGAUUUCCAACAAAUAUGUUGCUCUCUCCAUAGUACCGUAGAACGGUGUUUUUGUCAUCUUACCCAUAAGGCACGGUUCGCAAGUACCAAGCGAUUCAUAAUCAAGUGGUUCCAAAAGUCCAUCAGUAUGGAGUUUCUUCAUGCGCUUUACACCGAUAUGACCUAAAUGGCAGUGCCACAAAUAAGUUGCACCAUCAUUAUCAACUCUGCAUCUUUUGGCUUCAACAUUAUGAAUAUGUGUGUCACUACUAUCGAGAUUCAAUAAGAAUAGACCACUCUUCAAGGGUGCAUGACCAUAAAAGAUAUUACUCAUAUAAAUAGAACAACCAUUAUUCUCUGAUUUAAAUGAAUAACCAUCUCGCAUUAAACAAGAUCCAGAUAUAAUGUUCUUGCUUAACGCUGGCACCAAAUAACAAUUAUUUAGGUCUAAUACUAAUCUUGAAGGUAGAUGUAGAGGUAGCGUGAUCACAUCAACUUUGGAACCAUUUCCCACGCGCAUCGUGACCUCGUUCUUAGCCAAUCUUUGCUUAAUCCGUAGUCCCUGUUUCGAGUUGCAAAUGUUAGCAACAGAACCAGUAUCAAAUAGCCAGGUGCUACUGCGAGCAUUAGUAAGGUACAUAUCAAUAACAUGUAUAUCACAUAUACCUUGGUUCACCUUGCCAUCCUUCUUAUCCGCCAAAUACUUGGGGCAGUUCUGCUUCCAGUGACCAGUCUGCUUGCAAUAGAAGCACUCAGUUUCAGGCUUAGGUCCAGGUUUGGGUUUCUUCUCUUGAGUAGCAACUUGCUUGCUGUUCUUUUUGAAGUUCCCCUUCUUCUUCCCUUUGCCCUUUUUCUUGAAACUAGUGGUCUUGUUGACCAUCAACACUUGAUGCUCCUUCUUGAUUUCUACCUCCGUAGCUUUCAGCAUUGCGAAGAGCUCGGGAAUAGUCUUAUUCAUCCCUUGCAUAUUAUAGUUCAUCACAAAGCUCUUGUAGCUUGGUGGCAGUGAUUGGAGAAUUCUGUCAAUGACGCAAUCAUCUGGAAGAUUAACUCCCAAUUGAAUCAAGUGAUUAUUAUACCCAGACAUUUUGAGUAUAUGCUCACUGACAGAACUGUUCUCCUCCAUCUUGCAGCUAUAGAACUUAUUGGAGACUUCAUAUCUCUCAAUUCGGGCAUUUGCUUGAAAUAUUAACUUCAACUCCUGGAACAUCUCAUAUGCUCCAUGACGUUCAAAACGUCGUUGAAGUCCCGAUUCUAAGCCGUAAAGCAUGGCACACUGAACUAUCGAGUAGUCAUCAGCUUGAUCUGCCAGACGUUCAUAACAUCUGGUGUUGCCCCAAUAGCAGGCCUGGCACCCAGCGGUGCUUCCAGGAUGUAAUUCUUCUGUGCAGCAAUGAGGAUAAUCCUCAAGUUACGGACCCAGUCCGUGUAAUUGCUACCAUCAUCUUUCAACUUUCCUUUCUCAAGGAACGCAUUAAAAUUCAACGGAACAACAGAACGGGCCAUCUAUCUACAAUCAAACAUAAACAAGCAAGAUACUAUCAGGUACUAAGUUCAUGAUAAAUUUAGGUUCAAUUAAUCAUAUUACUAAAGAACUCCCAAUUAGAUAGACAUCCCUCUAAUCCUCUAAUUGAUUACGUGAUCCAAAUCAACUAAACCAUGUCCGAUCAUCACGUGAAAUGGAGUAGUUUCAUUGGUUAACAUCUCUAUGUUGAUCAUAUCUACUAUAUGAUUCACGCUCGACCUUUCGGUCUCCGUGUUCCGAGGCCAUAUCUGUAUAUGCUUGGCUCGUCAAGUAUAACCUGAGUAUUCUGCGUGUGCAACUAUUUUGCACCCGUUGUAUUUGAACGUAGAGCCUAUCACACCCGAUCAUCACGUGGUGUCUCAGCACGAAGAACUUUCGCAAUGGUGCAUACUCAGGGAGAACACUUCUUGAUAAUUAGUGAGAGAUCGUCUUAAAAUGCAACCGUCAAUCAAAGCAAGAUAAGAUGCAUAAAAAAUAAACAUCACAUGCAAUCAAUAUAAGUGAUAUGAUAUGGCCAUCAUUAUCUUGUGCUUGUGAUCUCCAUCUUCGAAGCACCGUCGUGAUCACCAUCGUCACCGGCGCGACACCUUGAUCAUCAUCGUAGCAUCGUUGUCGUCUCACCAAUCUUAUGCUUCCACGACUAUCGCUACCGCUUAGUGAUAAAGUAAAGCAUUAUAGCGCAAUUGCAUUGCAUACAAUAAAGCGACAACCAUAUGGCUCCUGCCAGUUGCCGAUAACUUGGUUACAAAACAUGGUCAUCUCAUACAAUAAAAUUUUAGCAUCAUGUCUUGACCAUAUCACAUCACAACAUGCCCUGCAAAAACAAGUUAGACGUCCUCUACUAUGUUGUUGCAAGUUUUACGUGGCUGCUAUGGGCUUAAGCAAGAACCAAUCUUACCUACGCAUCAAAACCACAACGAUAGUUUGUCAAGUUGGUGUUGUUUUAACCUUUGCAAGGACCGGGCGUAGCCACACUCGGUUCAACUAAAGUUGGAGAAACUGUCACCCGCUAGCCACCUUUGUGCAAAUCACGUCGGGGAACUGGUCUCGCGUAAGCAUACGCGUAAUGUCAGUCCGGGCCCCUUCGUCCACCAAUACCGCCGAACCAAAGUAUGACAUCCUGGUAAGUAGUAUGACUUAUAUCACCCACAACUUACUUGUGUUCUACUCGUGCAUAUAACAUCAACACAUAAAACCUAGGCUCGGAUGCCACUGUUGGGGAACGUAGUAAUUUCAAAAAAAUUCCUACGCACACGCAAGAUCAUGGUGAUGCAUAGCAACGAGAGGGGAGAGUGCGAUAUACGUACCCUUGUAGACCGACAGCGGAAGCGUUAGCACAACGCAGUUGAUAUAGUCGUACGUCUUCACGGCCGACCGAUCAAGCACCGAAACUACGGCACCUUCGAGUUUUAGCACACGUUCAGCUCGAUGACGAUCCCCGGACUCUGAUCCAGCAAAGUGUAGGGGAAGAGUUCCGUCAGCACGACGGCGUGGUGACGAUCUUGAUGUAUUACCGUCGCAGGGCUUUGCUUAAGCACCGCUACAAUAUUAACGAGGAUUAUGGUGGAAGGGGGCACCGCACACGGCUAAGAAUAUGAUCACGUGGAUCAACUUGUGUCUAGGGGCGCCCCCUACCCUCGUAUAUAAAGGAGCAAGGGGAGGAGGCCGGCCGGCCCUAUAGGCGCGCCAAGGAGGACUCCUCCUCCUAGUAGGAGUAGGACUCCUACUAGGAGGGGGAAGGGAGUGGGGAGGGAGAAGGAAAGGGGGGCGCCGCCCCCCCUCUCCUAGUCCAAUUCGGACCAGGGGAGGAGGAGGCGCGCGGCCCACCAUUGCUGCCCCUCUCUCUCUCCACUAAGGCCCAUAUGGCCCAUUACUUCUCCCGGUAGGGUUCCGGUAACCCUCCGGCUCUCCGGUUUUCUCCGAAAUCACCCGGAACACUUCCGGUGUCCGAAUAUAGCCGUCCAAUAUAUCAAUCUUUAUGUAUCGACCAUUUCGAGACUCCUCGUUAUGUCCGUGAUCACAUCCGGGACUCCGAACUAACUUCGGUACAUCAAAACUCACAAACUCAUAAUAUAACUGUCAUCGAAACCUUCAGCAUGCAGACCCUACGGGUUCGAGAACAAUGUAGACAUGACCAAGACACGUCUCCGGCCAAUAACCAAUAGCAGAACCUAGAUGCUCAUAUUGGCUCCUACAUAUUCUACGAAGAUCUUUAUCGGUCAGACCGCAUAACAACAUACGUUGUUCCCUUUGUCAUCGUUAUGUUACUUGCCCGAGAUUCGAUUGUCGGUAUCUCAAUACCUAGUUCAAUCUCGUUACCGUCAAGUCUCUUUACUCGUUUCGUAAUACAUCAUCUCGCAACUAAAUCAUUAGUUGCAAUGCUUGCAAGGCUUAUGUGAUGUGCAUUAACGAGAGGGCCCAGAGAUACCUCUCCGACAAUCGGAGUGACAAAUCCUAAUCUCGAAAUACGCCAACCCAACAUGUACCUUUGUAGACACCUGUAGAGAUCCUUUAUAAUCACCUAGUUACGUUGUGACGUUUGGUAGCACACAAAGUGUUCCUCCGGAAAACGCAUAAUCUCAUAGUCAUAGGAACAUGUACAAGUCAUGAAGAAAGCAAUAGCAACACACUAAACGAUCGGGUGCUAAGAUAAUGGAAUGGGUCACGUCAAUCACAUCAUUCUCCUAAUAAUGUGAUCCCGUUAAUCAAAUGACAACACAUUUCUAUGGUUAGGAAACAUAACCAUCUUUGAUUAACGAGCUAGUCAAGUAGAGACAUACUAGUGACGUUUAGUCUGUCUAUGUAUUCACACAAGUAUUAUGUUUUCGGAUAAUACAAUUCUAGCAUGAAUAAUAAACAUUUAUCAUGAUAUAAGGAAAUAAAAUAAUAACAUUAUUAUUUUCUCUAGGGCAUAUUUCCUUCAGGGACGGCGAAGGGGAUCUCCGGUGGCUGGAGUUGAAGACGAGCUCGGUGCAGCGUCUCCGGGGCGAGCGAGCACUCGGGGCUCGGCCUAAUCGAUGUAAUCGACGACGGCGGAGCUCGUGGACAUGAUGGCGCGGCGCGAGGACGACGGAGGGCGCGGCUAUGACGACGGUGCAGCGACAGGGGUGUCGGCCAUGGUGGGGAACGGCGAGGGAGAGAGACAAGGGGGGAAUGGCGUGUCCAGGGGCUUCAGUGUGCGACGUGGAGGCGUCCAGGCGUCCAGGGGCGCGGGCGGCAAGCAGGUGGCGCCGUGGCGAGCUCAGGCACGCUGCGUCACCUCCCUGCCUGUCUGGUGGGGAAGAAGCAGCUGGCUGGCGCGGGCCAGCACAGUGCUAGGCCGCCAGGUGGGCCGGCUGGUGGGUUAGGUGGGCUGCGCCAGGUAAGUUCCUCUCUCUCUCUCUUUUUCCUGUUCUUCAUUUAUUCUAUUAUUUCUGUAGCCUCAGGGUUUAUUAAAAAUGUCAGGGCAUUUCCAUAAAUCAUAAAAUUAAUCAUGGCUACUGCUUAGAAUAUAUACAACAGCAAACAUUUUAGUUUAUGAUUAUUUGAGCAUUUAAAAUAUUUUAUAGCAUUUGAAUGCCCAAAUGCAAAUACUAUAAGAAUUAAUCCAAUGACCUUAAGAUGUCCUAGAAAAAUGUGCACCAUUUUUGUCAAAGGUUUUAACCCAAAACAAAAAGGGUGGCUUUUUAGAAGGGCAUUUCAGGUUAAUUGAAAAAGUUUUUAAUAAACCCUAGUUGUUCCAGGGGGGUGCUGGGGGUUCUAUCAUCCCCAUUUCAAAUUUAAGAGAAAUUUAAACAUGAUGCACACUCUAAUACUUGAACUAGCUAGGGUGUGACAGAGACAUGGAGAUUUGCAAGAUACAUACGGAUCUAAAUGUUGAAGACCCAUUGACUAAGCCUCUUCCACGAGAAAAACAUGAUCAGCACCAAGGCUCCAUGGGUGUUAGAAUCAUUACUGUGUAAUCUAGAUUAUUGACUCUAGUGCAUGUGGGAGACUGAAGGAAAUAUGCCCUAGAGGCAAUAAUAAAGUUAUUAUUUAUUUCCCUAUUUCAUGAUAAAUGUUUAUUAUUCAUGCUAGAAUUGUAUUAACCGGAAACAUAAUACAUUUGUGAAUACAUAGACAAACAUAGUGUCACUAGUAUGCCUCUACUUGACUAGCUCAUUGAUCAAAGAUGGUUAAGUACUUUCCUAACCAUAGACAUGAGUUGUCAUUUGAUCAAUGGGAUCACAUCAGUAGGAGAAUGAUGUGAUUGACUUGACCCAUUUUGUUAGCUUAGCACUUGAUCGUUUGUGUUUACUGCUAUUGCUUUCUUCAUGACUUAUACAUGUUAUUAUGCCUAUGAGAUUAUGCAACCCCCAAAUACCGGAAGAACACUUUGUGUGCUACCAAACAUCACAACAUAACUGGGUGAUUAUAAAGGUGCUCUACAGGUGUCUCCGAUGGUACUUGUUGAGUUGGAAUAGAUCAAGAUUAGGAUUUGUCACUCCGAUUGUCGGAGAGGUAUCUCUGGGCCCUCUCGGUAAUGCACAUCACUAUAAGCCUUGCAAGCAAUACAACUAAUGAGUUAGUUGCGGGAUAGUGCAUUACGAAACGAGUAAAGAGACUUUCCUGUAACGAGAUUGAACUAGGUAUUGGGAUACCGACGAUCGAAUCUUGGGCAAGUAACAUACCGAUGAUAAAGAGAAUAAUGUAUAGUGUUAUGUGGUUUGACCGAUAAAGAUCUUCGUAGAAUAUGUAGGAACCAAUAUGAGCAUCCAGGUUCCGCUAUUGGUUAUUGACCAGGAGACAUGUCUCGGACAUGUCUACAUAGUUUUUGAACCCGUAGGGUCCGCACACUUAAAGUUCUAUGACGAUGGGUCUUAUGAGUUUAUAUGUUUUGAUGUACUGAAGGUAGUUCGGAGUCCCGGAUAUGAUCACGGACAUGACGAGGAGUCUCGAAAUGGUCGAGACAUAAAGAUUGAUAUAUUGGAAGCCUACAUUUGUACAUCGGAAGAGUUCCGGGUAAAAUCGGGAUUUUACCGGAGUACCGGAGGGGUUACCGGAACCCCCCGAGGGCUAAUGGGCCUUGUUGGGCCAUAAGGGAUAGAGAGAGGGGCCGGCCUAGGGCAGGCAGCAUGCCCCCUCCCUCUGGUCCGAAUUGGACUAGGAGAGGGGUGGCGGCGCCCCCCCUUUUCCUUCCCUUUCUUCCCCUUCCUUUCCCCCUCCUGGUAGGAGUAGGAAAGGGAGGAAUCCUACUCCUACUAGGAGGAGGAUUCCUCCUCCUGGCGCACCAACAAGGGCCGGCCAGCCUCCCCCUUCCUCCUUUAUAUAUAGGGGCAGGGGUACCUCUAGACACAGAAGUUGAUCACAAAGAUCUCUCCCAGCCGUGUAAGGUGCCCCCCUCCACUAUAAUCCACCUCGGUCAUACUAUAGCGGUGUUUAGGCGAAGCCCUACUGCGGUAGCUUCAUCAACAUCGUCACCACGCUGUCGUGCUGACGAAACUCUUCCCCGAGCUCUACUGCAUCGUGAGUUCACGGGACAUCACCGAGUUGAACGUGUGCUGAACGCGGAAGUGCCGUACGUUCGGUACUGAGGAUCGGUCUAUCGUGAAGACGUGCGACUACAUCAACCGCGUUGUCAUAAUGCUUCCGCUUAACGGUCUAUGAGGGUACAUGCACGACACUCUCCCCUCUCGUUUCUAUGUAUCACCAUGAUCCUGCGUGUGCGUAGGAAUUUUUUUGAAAUUACUACGUUCCCCAACACCAGUGACCAUUCCCUUUGAAGUAGAAGCACUCAGUUUUAGGCUUAGGUCUAGCUUUGGGUUUCUUCACGGGAGUGGCAAAUUGCUUGACAUUCUUCUUGAAGUUCCCUUUCUUUCCCUUGCCCUUUUACUUGAAACUAGUGGUCUUGUCAACCAUCAACAUUUGAUGCUUUUCUUGAUUUCUACCUUCGCCGAUUUCAGCAUCACGAAGAGCUCGGGAUUCAUUUUCGUCAUCCCUUGCAUAUUAUAGUUCAUCAUGAAGUUCCAGUAACUUGGUGAUAGUGACUAGAGAACUGUGUCAAUAGCUAUCUUAUCUGGAAGAUAAACUCCCACUUGAUUCAAGUGAUUAUAGUACUCAGACAAUCUGAGCACAUGCUCACUGGUUGAGCUAUUCUCCUUCAUCUUAUAGGCAAAGUACUUGUCAGAAGUCUCAUACCUCUCGACUCAGGCAUCAGUCUGAAAUACCAAUUUCGGCUCUUGGAACAUCUUAUAUGCUCUGUGGUGUUCAAAAUGUUUUUGAAGUAUCGGUUCUAAGCCGUAAAGCAUGUCGCAUUAAACUAUAAAGUAGUCAUCAUACCGAGCUUGCCAAACGUUCAUAACAUCUGCAUCUACUCCUACACUAGGUCCGUCAACCAGUGGUUCAUCAAGGACAUAAUUCUUCUGUGCAGAAAUGAGGAUAAUCCUCAGAUCCGGAGCUAGUCUGCAUCAUUGCUACUAACAUCGUUCAACAUAGCUUUCUCUAGGAAUAUAUCAUAAAUAUACGAGGAAGCUAUAUGUGAGCAAUUGAUCUACAACAUAUAUAUGCAAAUACUACCAGGACUAAGUUCAUGAUAAAUUUAAGAUCAAUUAAUCAUAUUACUUAAGAACUCCCACUUAGAUAGACAUCCCUCUAAUCAUCUAAGUGAUCACGUGAUCCAUAUCAACUAAACCAUGUCCGAUCAUCACGUGAUAUGGAGUAGCUUUCAAUGGUGAACAUCACUAUGUUGAUCAUAUCUACUAUAUGAUUCAUGUUUGACCUUUCGAUCUCAGUGUUCCGAGGCCAUAUCUGCAUAUUCUAGGAUCGUCAAGUUUAACCCGAGUAUUCUUCUUGUGCAAAACUAGCUUGCACCCGUUGUAUGUGAACGUAGAGCUUAUCAUACCCGAUCAUCACGUGGUGUCUCAGCACGACGAACUGUAGCAACAGUGCAUACUCAGGGAGAAUACUAAUACCUUGAAAUUUAGUGAGAGAUCAUCUUAUAAUGCUACCACCGUACUAAGCAAAAACAAGAUGCAUAAAGGAUAAACAUCACAUGCAAUCAAUAUAAGUGAUAUGACAUGGCCAUCAUCAUCUUGUGCAUUUGAUCUCCAUCUCCAAAGGACCGUCAUGAUCACCAUCGUCACUGGCUUGACACCUUGAUCUCCAUCAUAGCAUCGUUGUCGUCUCGCCAACUAUUGCUUCUAUGACUAUUGCUACUGCUUAGUGAUAAAGUAAAGCAAUUACAUGGUGAUUGCAUUUCAUACAAUAAAGCGACAACCAUAUGGUUCCUGCCAGUUGCCGAUAACUGUGCUACAAAACAUGAUCAUCUCAUACAACAAUUUAUAUAAUCACGUCUUGACCAUAUCACAUCACAACAUGCCCUGCAAAAACAAGUUAGACGCCCUCUACUUUGUUGUUGCAAGUUUUACAUGGCUGCUACGGGGUUAGCAAGAACCGUUCUUACCUACGCAUCAAAAACCACAACGCAUUAUAGUGAUUGCUUUUUGAUCUUCAGAAAGAACCCUGUUCAUUGAAUCUGAUUCAUCUAAAGUUGGAGAAACUGACACCCGCCAGCCAUCUGUGUGCAAAGCACGUCGGUAGAACCAGUCUCAUGAACGCGGUCAUGUAAUGUCGGUCUAGGCACUUCAUCCAACAAUACCGCCGAAUCAAGAAACAACUAGUGACAGCAAGCAAUAUGUAUAUACCCACGCCCACAACUCCUUUGUGUUCCAUCGUGCAUAUAACAUCUACGCAUAGACCUGGCUCGGAUGCCACUGUUGGGGAACGCAGUAUUUCAAAAAAAAUCCUACGAUCACGCAAGAUCUAUCUAUGGAUGCAUAACAACAAGAGGGGAGAGUAUGUCUACGUACCCUCGUAGACCUAAAGCGGAAACGUUAAGAAACGCGCUUGAUGUAGUCAAACAUCUCCACAAUCCAACCGAUCAUGUACCGAAUGCACGGCACCUCCGCGAUCUGCACACGUUCAGCUCGAUGAUGUCCCUCGUACUCUUAAUCCAGUUGAGGUUGAGGGAGAGUUUCGUCAGCACGAUGGUGUGUUGACGGUGAUGAUGAAGUUACCGGCGCAGGGCUUCGCCUAAGCACUACGACGAUAUGACAGAGGUGUGUAUCUGUGGAGGGGGGCACCGCACACGGCUAAAACAAUUGUCAACUUGUGUGUCUAUGGGGUGCCCCCCUCCCCCAUAUAUAAAUAAGGGGAGGAGGGGGCGGCAGGCCCUCAUGGUGCGCCCCCAAGGGGGAUUCCUACUCCUACUAGGAGAAGGUUUCUCCCCUUUCCUAGUCCUAAUAGGAGGGCGAAGGAAGGGGAAGAGGAGAAGAACGAAAGGGGGGGCAGCCCCCUUCCCAAUUCGGAUUGGGCUUGGGGGCGCGCGCCCACCUCUUGGCCGCCUCCUCUCUCUUCCACUAAACCCCAUGUAGGCCAAUUAAGCCCCCGGGGGGUUUCCGGUACUCCGGUAUAUGCCCGAAUUCAUCUGAAACCAUUCCGGUGUCCAAACAUAACCUUCCAAUAUAUCAUUCUUCAUGUAUCGACCAUUUCGAGACUCCUCGUCAUGUCCGUGAUCACAUCCGGGACGCCGAACUACCUUCGGUACAUAAAACACAUAAACUCAUAAUACUGAUCGUCAUCGAACGUUAAGCAUGCAGACCCUACGGGUUCGAGAACUAUGUAGACAUGACCUAUACUCAUCUCCGGUCAAUAACCAAUAGCGGAACCUGGAUGCUCAUAUUGGUUCCUACAUAUUCUACAAAGAUCUUUAUCGGUCAAACGGCAUAACAACAUAUAUUGUUCCCUUUGUCAUCGGUAUGUUACUUGCCGGGGAUUCGAUCGUCAGUAUCAUCAUACCUAGUUCAAUCUCGUUACUGGCAAGUCUCUUUACUCGUUCCGUAAUGCAACAUCCCGCAACUAACUCAUUAGUCACAUAGUGAUGUGCAUUACCGAGAGGGCCCAGAGAUACCUCUCCGAAAAUCGGAUUGACAAAUCCUAAUCUCGAUCUAUGGCAACUCAACAAACACCAUCGGAGACACCUGUAGAGCAUCUUUAUAAUCACCUAGUUAUGUUGUGACGUUUGAUAGCAGACUAAGUGUUCUUCCGAUAUUCGGGAGUUGCGUAAUCUCAUAGUCAUAGGAACAUGUAUAAGUUAUGGAGAAAGCAAUAGCAACAAACUAAACGAUCAUAGUGCUAAGCUAACGGAUGGGUCUUGUCCAUCACAUCAUUCUAUAAUGAUGUGAUCCCGUUCAUCAAAUGACAACACAUGUCUAUGGCUAGGAAACUUAACCAUCUUUGAUUAAUGAGCUAGUCAAGUAGAGGCAUACUAGGGACACUUGCUACCUCUUGAGCAUUGCAUUGGUUUUCCCCGAAGAGGAAGGGAUGAUGCAGCAAAGUAGCGUAAGUAUUUCCCUCAGUUUUUGAGAAGCAAGGUAUCAAUCCAGUAGGAGGCUACGCGCAAGUCCCUCGUACCUGCACAAAACAAAUAAAUCCUCGCAACCAACGCAAAUAGGGGUUGUCAAUCCCUAUGAGGCCACUUACGAGAGUGAGAUCUGAUAGAUAUGAUAAAGAUAAUAUUUUUGGUACUUUUAUGAUAAAGAUGCAAAGUAAAAUAAAGGCAAAGUAAAUAGCAAAGUUGUAGGAGAACAAUAUGAUAAAGAUAGACCCGGGGGCCAUAGGUUUCACUAGUGGCUUCUCUCGAGAGCAAAAGUAUUCUACGGUGGGUGAACAAAUUACUAUUGAGCAAUUGAAAAAAUUGAGCAUAAUUAUGAGAAUAUCUAGGCAUGAUCAUGUAUAUAGGCAUCACGUCUGAGACAAGUAGAUUGACUCCUGCCUGCAUCUACUACUAUUACUCCACUCAUCGACCGCUAUCCAGCAUGCAUCUAGAAUAUUAAGUUAAAAACAGAGUAACGCCUUAAGCAAGAUGACAUGAUGUAGAGGGAUAGACUCAUGCAAUAUGAAGAAAACCCCAUAUUGUUAUCCUCGAUGGCAACAAUACAAUACGUGCCUUGCUUCCCUUACUGUCACCGGGAAAGGACACCGCAAGAUUGAACCCAAAGCUAAGCACUUCUCCCAUUGCAAGAAAGGUCAAUCUAGUAGGCCAAACCAAACUGAUAAUUCAAAGAGACUUGCAAAGAUAACCAAUCAUACAUAAAAGAAUUCAGAGAAGAUUGAAAUAUUGUUCAUAGAUAGACUUGAUCAUAAACCCACCACUACUAGGAAAAGGGCUAUAGAUAAUAUGGACACUAAUGGCGCACCAGACAUGUGGUGCGGCACUACUAUAUAGCAGUGGCGCACCAUGUGCUGGUGCGCCAUUAGUGUCUAUCACACUAAUGGCGCACCAAACCAAUGGUGCGCCACUACUAACAUAUUUUUUAUUUUUCCAAAAAUACUAAUGGCGCACCACUCACCACGUGCGCCACUACUAUCAUUUUUUUUGCAAAACUACUAAUGGCGCACCACAAGCUGGUGCGCCAUUAGUAACCAGGGUUACUAAUGGCGCAUUUGUGGGCAGUGCGCCAUUAGUAACCUGGGACCAGCUAGAUAUUUUGGACAACCACACCUACACACUCACUUUCCCCACUUCAUUCUCUCCACCUCCUCCUCCAAGCUUGUAUCGGCUGCCUCCUCCUCCUCACCUCAUUUGCACCAUAGAUUCAUCUAAAUUAAGUGGUUAAAUUACCUUUUUUGAUAGGUAAGUAAGGGGAAAGCUAUCUUUAUAUUGUAGAUCUACUUUUUUUCUCCCUACAACAACGUGCACAUGCACUUUUUAUGGCCUUGCUAGAUCUAUGUAUAUUUGCGGUGUUGCAUAUGUUUGUGGUGUUGCAUAUAUGUUUGUGUUUGCAGGUACCGGUAUUUGAAAUGCGAUAGUUGCCAAUAUUUUUCCGGAAUGUUGAUUCAUUUCCAUUUCGGCGAGAAUUUUGGCACUAUGCAUUCUUUUUUUUCCUAUUUUUAGGGAAAGUCAUGCCAAAAAAUUUCUUGGUUCUAAAAUAUUUUUUUGCUCUACCCCGCAGGUGACCAUGGUCCGCACGAUGACGAAGGCAUCAUGAAUAGGUUUUUGAGCUCCGCGAAGGCCGAGAUGCUUCAAAAGAAUGAGACAGAGAUAAGAUGUCCGUGUUGAAGAUGCAAGCUGAAGAGCCUUAUUGCGGACCCGGAUUCCGGGCAGGUGCGGGACCACCUGCUCUUGCGUGGUUUCAUGGAUGGCUAUUGGUGGGAAGGUGAUGAAGAUGACUAUGAAGUCGUCCAUGGGGGCCGUGCAAGAAAUGAGGAAGGGCAGCAAGACAACCACCAUGGCUCGGGUGGGCGAGAAUACGAAGAAUCUCCAGGACAUGAUCACGACGGUGAUGCUGUACAUAGUCAUCAUGUAGAAGAUGCAGGACAUGAUGAUGAGGACGAUCAAGACGAAGGGCAUGAUCAUGAAGAUGAAGAUGCCAGAGCAGACGAUGAUGGACCAUCGAUGGGCUGGGUGCAGGACCCUCAUAUUCAAGAGUUGCUUCUCAAGCAGACGGAUAACGCAAGAGUUGCUGCCCGAGAGAAAUUCAAGCUGGAUCAACUGGAGAUAGACGCGGUUACUCCAUUGUAUGAAGGAUGCAGGCCCAAGGAUACCUGCCUGAAAGUAACGCUCAUGGCUCUGGAGAUGAAGGUAAAACACAAAAUGACUGACGCAUGCUUCGACGAGAACAUGUCAUUCUGGCACGAACGUCUUCCCAAGGGGAACAAGUGCCCGACCAGUUUCGAGGAGGCGAAGAAAAUCAUUUGUCCUCUAGAUUUACCGCACGUGAAAUACCAUGUGUGCAUGAACAAUUGCAUCAUUUAUCGGGAUGAGCACGUGGAGUCUAUCAUAUGUCCGAUGUGUGGCGUCACUCGAUACAAGAAGAGGAAGAAAGCUCCUCAAAAAGUGGUGUGGUACUUUCCAAUCACUCCUCGUCUUCAGCGGUAUUUCGCGGACCCUACGCUAGUGAAGCUCUGGCGUUGGUACGCGGAUAGGGAGGAGAAGAAGCGAGAAGAUGACGGAAAUGAUCCGGAGAUAAAUAAAAAAGACAAGAUGCUGAGUCACCCUAAGGAUGCCAGCCAGUGGCAAGCGUUGAACUUCGAACACCCAGAAUUUGGGGACGAUCCAAGGAACAUCAUGCUGGGCGCGAGCACCGAUGGAGUCAAUCUGUUUGGCAGCCAGAGAAGCGCACAUAGCACCUGGCCUGUGUUUGUGUGGAUGUACAACCUUCCCCCUAGUUGUGCAUGAAGAGGAAGUACAUUCACAUGAGUAUGCUAAUUGAACGGCCGAAACAACCAGGGAAUUACAUCAAUCUGUAUCUGGGGCUGCUGAAAGAGGAGCUAGACACGUUGUGGAAAACACCAGCCAAUACGUGGGACGCCGCAGAGAAAGAAUAUUUCCCUAUGAAAGCCGCACUGCUCACGACGGUGCACGACUAUCUCGGUUACGGAUAUCUCGCGGGGCAGGUGGUCCACGGAUUUUCUGGAUGCGUCAAGUGCAUGGAUGACACAACGUAUCGCCAGCUAGAUAGAGAUCCCGGGUCUUCGAAAACCGUGUUCAUGGGACAUCGAAGGUGGCUUCACGACGAUGAACCGUGGAGAAAACGCAAGGAUAUGUUCGAUGGUGAAACCGAACCCCGAAGACACCCGCGUACGAGGAGCGGCAAGGAAAUAGACGAGCUGUUGAAAAAUUGGAAAGAUUGCCCACUUCCGGGAAAGAAGCAAAAGGUGCCAGAGCCAGGAAAGAAGCGAAACGGGCCAGAGCCGCUGAUGAAGGUAUGGAAAACAAGGUCUGUUUUCUGGGACUUGCCGUACUAGAAGAUCCACCGUGUGCCUCAUAGCCUUGAUGUCAUGCAUAUCACGAAGAACGUGUGCGAGAGUCUGCUUGGUACCCUGCUCAACAUGCCAGAGAGGACCAAAGAUGGGCAGCAAGCAAGGGCAGACUUGAAAUCAAUGGGCAUCAGGGAGGAGCUUCACGCUAAUGAUGAUGAUGAUGAGGCGAAGCAGGACACGGAAAGUCGUCGCAAAGGCAAAAAGGCCAGGAAGACCAUAAAUGACUACCCUCCUGCGUGCUUCACUCUAAGUCAGGAGGAUAUCGAGCAGUUUUUCACCUACCUCGUAGGAGUAAAACUUCCUUACGGUUACACGGUGAAGAUAAGCAGAUACCUAGACCCAACGAAGCAGAAGUUCAGCGGGAUGAAGUCUCACGACUGUCACAUGCUGAUGACGCAGAUACUUCCAGUUGCAAUCCAUGGGAUCAUGGACGCGCAUGUCCAUGAAACGCUAUUUGGCCUAUGCAACUUUUUUGACGUCAUCUCUCAGAAGUCGGUUGGCGGGAGGAAACUCAUAAGGCUACAGGAAGAGAUCAUGGUGAUACUAUGCGAGCUUGAGAUGUACUUCCCGCCCGCAUUCUUCGACGUUAUGGUGCAUCUGCUGGUCCAUAUCGUGGAGGAUAUCAUCCAACUCAGGCCGACAUUCCUGCACAGCAUGAUGCCAUUUGAAAGGAUGAAUGGUGUCAUCAAAGGAUAGGUUCGCAACAUGUCACACCCAGAGGGAAGCAUAGCCAGGGGCUUUCUGACCGAAGAGUGCAUCUCCUACUGCAUGAAUUAUCUAGGCAUCGAGAACCCCGUUGGUCUGCCCGUCAACAGGCACCUCGGCAGGCUCGCUGGAUGGGGUCACCGUGAGGGUCGCCGCGAAAUGCAUGUCGACUUGGAGGGUCGACUCACCGACUUUGAAAGAGCAAACCUAGUCGCGCUACAACACAUAGACGUGGUCGAUCCUUGGGUGGUAGAGCACAAAACAUUUAUUGAGAAGACGUACAAUGGCCAAGGCCAAUAGAGGACGGACGGAGAUAUAAUCAAAGAGCACAACUCAUGUUUCACGCGUUGGUUCAAGAAGAAGCUUCUGUCAUACCCUUUACAUGAGGAUUCUUCCGUGGAAGAAAAACUCAUAUUCGCCUUGUCACAGGGCGUCGAGCACAGCCUGAUGACCUAUGAGGCGUACGAUAUCAACAGCUACACAUUCUACAUCGAGGACAAGGACAUGAAGAGCGAUGGUUAUCAGAACUCCGGGGUAACGAUGGAAUCCUACACCGGUAACGACAAGGACAGAUACUACGGAAGGAUCGAGGAGAUCUGGGAGCUGAGCUAUGCUGGAGAGAAGGUCCCGAUGUUCCGUGUCAGAUGGGCGAAGAGUGUCAUAAAAGAAGACCGGUAUUUCACCACCAUGGUUAUGAAGGAAAUAUGCCCUAGAGGCAAUAAUAAAGUUAUUAUUUAUUUCCUUAUAUCAUGAUAAAUGUUUAUUAUUCAUGCUAGAAUUGUAUUAACCGGAAACAUGAUACAUGUGUGAAUACAUAGACAAACUUAGUGUCACUAGUAUGCCUCUACUUGACUAGCUCGUUAAUCGAAGAUGGCUAUGUUUCCUAACCAUAAACAAAGUGUUGUUAUUUGAUUAACGAGGUCACAUCAUUAGUUGAAUGAUUUGAUUGACAUGACCCAUUCCAUUAGCUUAGCACCCGAUCGUUUAGUAUGUUGCUAUUGCUUUCUUCAUGACUUAUACAUGUUCCUAUGACUAUGAGAUUAUGCAACUCCCAUUUACCAGAGGAACACUUUGUGUGCUACCAAACGUCACAACGUAACUGGGUGAUUAUAAAGGAGCUCUACAGGUGUCUCCAAAGGUAGAUGUUGGGUUGGCGUAUUUCGGGAUUAGGAUUUGUCACUCCGAUUGUCGGAGAGGUAUCUCUGGGCCCUCUCGGUAAUGCACAUCACAUAAGCCUUGCAAGCAUUGCAACUAAUGAGUUAGUUGCGGGAUGAUGUAUUACAGAACGAGUAAAGAGACUUGCCAGUAACGAGAUUGAACUAGGUAUUAGAUACCGACGAUCGAAUCUCGGGCAAGUAACAUACCGAUGACAAAGGGAACAAUGUAUGUUGUUAUGCCGUCUGACCGAUAAAGAUCUUCGUUGAAUAUGUAUGAGCCAAUAUGGGCAUCCAGGUCCCGCUAUUGGUUAUUGACCGGAGACGUGUCUCGGUCAUGUCUACACUGUUCUCGAACCGUAGGGUCCGCACGCUUAACGUUACGAUGACAGUUAUUAUGAGUUUAUGCAUUUUUGAUGUACCGAAGAUUGUUCGGAGUCCCGGAUGUGAUCAUGGACAUGAUGAGGAGUCUCGAAAUGGUCGAGACAUAAAUAUUGAUAUAUUGGAAGCCUAUGUUUGGAUAUCGGAAGUGUUCCGGGUGAAAUUGGGAUUUUACCGGAACCCCCCGGGAGCUAUAUGGGCCUUAGUGGGCUUUAGUGGAAAGGAUAAAGGGGCAGCCCAAGGUGGGCCGCAUGCCUCCCCCCUCCCCUAGUCCUAUUAGGACAAGGAGAGGUGGCCGGCCCCCUCUCUCUCUUUCCCCCCUCAAGGAAUCCUAUUCCAACUAGGAUUGGGGGGGGGGGGAAUCCUACUCCCAGAGGGAGUAGAACUCCCUUGGCGCGCCCUCCUUGGACGGCCGCCCCCUCCCCCUUGGCUCCUUUAUAUACGGAGGCAGGGGGCACCCUAGAACACACAAGUUGAUCCACGUGAUCGUUCCUUAGCCGUGUGCGGUGCCCCCUGCCACCAUAUUCCACCUCGAUCAUAUCGUUGUAGUGCUUAGGCGAAGCCCUGCAUCGGUAGAAUAUCAUCAUCGUCACCACGCCGUUGUGCUGACGGAACUCAUCCCCAAGCUUUGCUGGAUCGGAGCCUGGGGAACGUCAUCGAGUUGUACGUGUGCUAAGAACUCAGAGGUGCCGGAGUAAUGGUGCUUGGAUCGGUCGGAUCGGGAAGACGUACGACUACUUCCUCUACGUUGCGUCAACGCUUCCGCAGUCGGUCUGCGUGGGUACAUAGACAACACUCUCCCCUCUCGUUGCUAUACAUCACCAUGAUCUUGCGUGUGCGUAGGCAAAUUUUUGAAAUUACUACGUUCCCCAACAGGUUAUACCCGAAGCCAAAUCCAUGACCGCGGGCGCAAACGUCACCGUGAAAAAUGAGCCAUGGGUACUGGCUUCCCAAGUGGACCAAUGCUUCUUCAUUACCGACCCGUCAAAGCCCAAUCGUGUUGUCGUGAGGAGAGGCAAAAGGAAGAUCAUCGGAAUGGAUGGAGUUGCCAAUGAGCAAGACUUCGACAAGUAUGGCGACCCGAAGAUGGAACAUGACGACGACGAUGAAGUGCCAUACACCACAAGAAGAAGCAGGACCACCCUACAUAAAGGACGUCCGUUCAACAGAAGAACUCCAUUUGCGAAAAAGAAGGGCAAGAAGAUUGUGAAAAGAUAGCUAGCUAAGAUCGAUUGUAUUUAAAUCGUAGUCUUCAUUUCUCGAUUGUAUUUCAUGGGCACUUUUUGAACUCAUGAAUAUUUUUAAAUUUCAUGGGCACUUUUUGAAUUCAUGAAUAUUUUUCAAAUUUGAUGAUAUUUUUAAUAUUCAAUAUGCAAAAAUAUUGAAUAUUCAUGAGGACACUCGAUCUCGAUCCCCCUCCAUCUCGAUCGCUAUCCCCCCUCGCCAGAUCCCCCUCACCGCCGAGCACCCCCCGCACCCUCCCCUGCUCCACCACCGCCGAUGACCCACCGCACCCUCCCCCGCUCCACCGCCGCCGACGACCCACCNNNNNNNNNNNNNNNNNNNNNNNNNNNNNNNNNNNNNNNNNNNNNNNNNNNNNNNNNNNNNNNNNNNNNNNNNNNNNNNNNNNNNNNNNNNNNNNNNNNNNNNNNNNNNNNNNNNNNNNNNNNNNNNNNNNNNNNNNNNNNNNNNNNNNNNNNNNNNNNNNNNNNNNNNNNNNNNNNNNNNNNNNNNNNNNNNNNNNNNNNNNNNNNNNNNNNNNNNNNNNNNNNNNNNNNNNNNNNNNNNNNNNNNNNNNNNNNNNNNNNNNNNNNNNNNNNNNNNNNNNNNNNNNNUCACAAAUGAAUGCAACUAAAAAUCCAAAAAAAACAAAUUUGAUUAUAUUUUCAAAUAACAAAUUUGACGAUAUUUUCAAAUAAUAAAUUUGAUGAUAUUUUUUAUAUUCAUAAAUAUUUUCAAAUAACAAAUUUGAUGAUGUUUUUCAAAAAAUUAUUACUGUUUUUAUAAAAAAUUAUUAUUGUUUCAUAUUCAUAUUCAUUUUCUAAAAAAUUAUUAGAUGCAACAAAAAUAAUAAAAAAAUUACUUAUGGCGCACCGCUGGCUGGUGCGCCAUUGCUAUCUAAAAAAAGAUUACUUAUGGCGCAGCGCUCGGGGGUGCGCCAUUGUUAUCAAAAAACAUACUAAUGGCGCACCGCCAGGGGGUGCGCCAUUAGUAAUAUUCCCCCCUAGCUAAUUCGCCCGAUCCCUUCGUCCCUCCCUCGCCAGAUCCACUUCCCCCCUCGCUCCACACCCGCUCCGACGACCCCCGCGCCCCGCCUCGCCGUCUCGGUCCUCGCCGCCGACGGCCUGCCACCAUGACUGCCAGCCCGACCCACUGCGCUGACCAACUGCGCCGCCGCCCCACCCACUGCGCCGACACCCGGUCUCCUCCGCCCGUAAGCCCCCUCCUCCUCUGCCCGUCCAUCGCCUUCGGCCUCCUGCCCCUAACUGACUUGACUCCCCUGGCCUCCGCAUAGAGCACGGGCCCCGCUGCUAUGCCGCCAUCGCCAUCGUCCUUGACCGCCUCUCCCCUCCUUUGAAGAAGGACCACGGGGCCCGCUGCUACGCCGCCAUCGCCAUCGUCCUUCCUGAUCUGAGGCGCGAUUGGGAGGAGAAGGGGACGCACCCUCGUCCUCAGCCCACCAUCAACGUACCCUCGUCCUCCAGUCCUCCACGGUAAGCCAUCCUCUCUCUUCCAACUCCCUGUUCUAAAUUUGUACUGCCAAGUCUGAAAUUUUCAUUGUUAUUCUUAAGUCUGAAGUUAGCUGAACACUUACCUGAAACAUUUUUGUCAAACUAAAGCAAGCCAACACUUAACUGAAUUUGCAAUGACAGGCUCUUUCACCAAUGUGAAAAAAUGAGGGUAAGAACUAACAAUGUGCAUAACUGAAUUUUUGGUCCAACACCAAGAUCUCCUACUCCUGAUCAAUUGAAGAAACCCACUGUUGACUGUACCAAUUGAACAAAGCUGCAGGGUACAUUAUGUUAAAGAUUUCCUACUUUAGUGAUUUUUAGGAAGAGCACUUAAAAUUUUUAGUCAACAUUGAUUUAUGAGGGUCAACAUUGAUUUAGUUGCAGGGUACAUUUUGUUCAAAGUAUCACGUCAUUAGAAGAGGUGUAUCUUUGCUGCAUGUAUUUUCAGAAUUGAACUAACAGGUGUAUUACUUGAAAGUGGUACUAGUAGCUGGGAUGGGGUGGGUGGGCGUGGGCCAUAGUAUUUUUUAAGAGCAUCUUUGCUGGAUGUAUGUUCAGAAACGUGUUAACAGGUGUAUUAUUUAUAGUAGUAGUUGAAGAUGGUUUCUCUUGUCUUAACUGUAUAAUCAUGUAUUACAUAGUGUUCUUGUUUUUCUUCAUAGUUUGCAGCAUUUUCAGAUGUACACUGUUUUCCUAUGUCUCAAAAUGUUCCUAAUUUGAUAUUUGAAAGUAAGUGUGUGGUUUGAAAUUUUGAUCUGAUUAUGGCAUCUAGAAUUAUGUCAGUUUUGUUUUGUAACUAGAAGACCAAAGUGUGUUACUCACCUGGAAUCUUAACUGUUAAUUUUGUAAUAUUCCUUAUAUUCAAAUCGAACAUGAUGGUGCUACCUGAUGUUUUUGAGACAUGGCAUCUCCCAUGACUGAAUCAGCAACAAGGGGAGUUGAUUCCAUUUCUUGGAUUCUGUAAGAAUUUAAUGGACCUGGGCCUAGUUAGGUAUAGGCUUGGGCUUGUGGUUGAAUGCUACCUUGUCCUAGCCAUGUAUUUUUAGAAUUGAGCUAAAGAUUUGGGGGUAGUAUUUCUGAUUUUAGAGCACCUUUGAUGGAUGUAUUUUACAGCAGCUGUUGGAAUCAAAAAAAUGCUUGUGGGUUGUCCUGUUAAGUUGAGUGAGUCAUUAGAGGGCAGAUAGAGUCACCCACACCAAUUAAUGUUUAUGAAGAAGAAGAAUAAACCUGCUGCUGCUGCUGUUAUGCCUGUAUUCACUGAUGCUGCUGCUGUACUUGUGAUGAUGUUGUACUUGUGAUGAUGCUACUUGUGAUCUUCUGAAAUGACCCAUUGGCGACUUCAUUAUGCGGGGAUAAUGAUUUUGCAGGUACCCUAAGAGGCCCUUGAGUUUGCCGGAAUGUCGAUUAAAUUCCGUUCCGGCAAAUUCGGGUACUCCAUAUGUCCUAUUUUCAGCAAAGGUCACGCUGAAAUUUUCCGUGAAUUUUAGCAUGACUUUGGUAAAAACAAGACAUAUGGGGUACUUACAACUAAUGCAUGGGCCGGGGUAUCUUAGUACUUAAUUAAGUAGGAUCAACUGCCUCAGCGUCAACCUAGCUAGGGUGCCUCGGCAUCGAUAAACCCUAAAUGAUGAAAACUUAACUUAGCAUUUAGGGUGCCUCAGCGUCGACAAACCCUAAAUUAUAAAACCUUGGCUUUUAGGGUGCCUCGGUGUCGAUAAAAACCUAAAUGAUGAAAGCUUAGGCUUUUAGGGUGCCUCGGCGUCGACAAACCCUAAAUGAUAAAAGCUUAGCUUUUAGGAUGCCUCGGUGUCGACAAACCCUAAAUGAUGAGACCAUGAUCAUGUUCCUUGACAAUAACCAACUUUUUCACCAAACUUUUUUCCUAUUUAGAGCAAAACAUGGCCCACAACGAUGAGGUCGGCGGUUCAGGCAAGCAAUUCUGGGAGUUGUCCCAGGAGAUGGAGGAAGAACCUCACCGCUAUGCGGAUGCCACGGAAGACACCGAUCCUGACUACACAACCCCUAGUGGCGUCGGGGAUGACACCACUGAUGGUGCCACUGAGGAUGCCACUACUAAUGAUGGCAGCGCACGCACAGAUGGCAGCCAACCGAAGAGGCAACGGAAGGACGGGCGCCCGAAUGUGGUCCGCACCGUCAAGGAGGAAUUUACUCAAGCGAACUCCGACGGGCAUCCAAUGGCGCCCAAAGAAUUAGUCAAGGGGUACUCGCUUCAGCUCGGGUGCAUUCUCCGGAGCACCAUCUCGAUCAACACCGAGAACCUAAGGCAUAAGGACCGAGGGAAUUUGAGCAACCUCCUCUUCACAAAGCUGCACAAACGAUACAAGUUCCCCGCUGACUUUGCAAACACACGCCUCUCAGGGAAUAAAGUGAACAGUGCCACACUCACGAUGAUGAGCACGACCCUGUCUACUUGGAGAAGCGCUGUGAAGAGAAUGAUUGACAAAGGUGAUAGUUAUGAGAAGAUCAAGGCAAAAAAUCCUUCGAUCAGCGAAGAUGACUACAAGGAGUUCAAGAUCAAGUGCGAGAGCAGCGCAACCUCCGAAUCAAGUCAGUGGGGGAAAGAAAUGCGGGAUUUGAACUUAGGGGAACACAAACUCGGUCCCGACGGUUACAUAGUGGCGGAGCCUAUAUGGGAUAAGGAGGACGCAGAGCGUGCCGAGCAAGGCCUACCGCCCCACUUCGAGAAAUACCGUGACAAGCAGACCAGGAACUAUGUCAGGGCCGGUACAAGGAGGAACCGGUAACAAAGGAGCUUACCACGGAUCUGAAGACCAGGGCUCUUGAGCUUGUUCUGGUAAGGAAUACACCCCCGUGUAAUUAGCUCCAUAUGGUUGCAUUCUAAUUAAUGAAGCCAAAUUUCUAAAUGGUUCACAUUCCUUCCGCAGGAGACUGAAAGCAAUAGUGCGGGGUCAUCUCAGAGCACCCCUUGGGACAGCACUCUAAAUAGGGCAUUGAACGUAAUGAAAAACAAGGAUAACCUCAGUAAGCUGUCGUCAGCUGGUCGUGUGGCUGGCAAAGGCUUGUCCACAAAAUGGUCGUCAUACUAUAAUGCUGGUGGGCGAAAGGAGAGAAAGACCAGCUCGGAAAGCCCGUCGCGCGAGGUUCAAGAACUCAAGGCACAAGUGGCGCUGAUUCCGGAGAUUGUCCAAGAGCAAGUGCAACAACAAUUGGGAUCGACGCUCACCACCAUUGUGCCUACCUUGAUUUAGGGGCUGACGACGUGGAUUGCGGGUGGCCAACAGGGGCCGCCCCCGGUUCCCAGCUUCACGGCCAGCAACUCGCACAACACGCAGGCGGCGCCAUUGGUGUCUCCGGCGGAGGUGGUAUUGGUGUCUCCGACGCCGGCACGGGCAUUGGAACUUAAUGCACCCGGGUGUACGCCGGCCGGCACCUCGGCAGCAAGCAGUGCACGCCCGCCGUUGGUGGUGCCUCGACAUUAGCCGAGCUCGACACCAUCACGGUAACUAAUUAAGCCUCUCGGCCGAUGACUUCAUCUCCUUGCCUUUGACUGGGCAUCCCUGACGCCCUACAUGUUUUCGCAGGGCGCCGCCGACGUUCCAUGCACUCUCCUGCACUUCGUGGGCGGCAAGUUGAUCGAUGUCGCCAAGGGAGGAAUCGUUCAACCGGGCAACCCCAUGAUCCACGGUAAUCCGAUGCCACCCACCAUGUAUAGGGUUGAACUGGUUCAGGUGCUGCCAGGCUGCGACGAGUUGUUACCUCCGAUUCGACCCGCUGGGGCCGACGAAGAUGAUGUGAUGACCCUCAGCGCCUGUGUAAGUUGGCCCCUGCUUUGGCCGAAGAGCCGGAUUAGUUUGGGGGCAAGGGACACCACCACACAGACAACAUCGCCAGUCGUGCCGGCGCCAAGCCAUGGCAAGACCGCCGCAACGCUACCGGACAUGCCGGACAUCCCUAUGGCACAGGAUCCGAACAUGCAUAUGGCACAGGAUCCGGACGACAACGACAACGACGACGGUACAUUUACCAAUGUUGAUAAGUACUUUGCCGAACAUGGGUAUGGUGACGAAUUCUUCGGGCCUCCUUCUCAAGAACCCAACCCUGAAAAAGGAUGACCGCGAUCAUGCUGGUACCACGGAGAAACCAAAUUGCAACAGGCGUCGUAUGGCGUUCAAUUCUCAGGAGACGCCUCCAGCUGCUGCCUUCACCGAGCCUCAGAUAGCCGAGGUGCCAAAUAUUAUCAGCCCCAACACACUCAAGAAGGCGGUCUAUGAGCAGAACUCGAUCCCAUUACAAUAGAAGAAGAAGGGACGGAAAAGAAAGAGUAACAAGGGUGCCAGCCAGCCGGCACCGAGUACGAACUGUGCUCAGGACGGUCCACCUUCACCUAAGGAUAUCUCGAGGAGGGUGCAUGUGGCGAGUAGGCUGAUGCUACCGACUAAUCUGCUCAAUGCUGCAACCGGUGCUAUGCGGAGUCUGCAUGAUAGUGUUCUUUCUUUGUAGAAGCGGCAUCUCUCCGAGAAUGAUGUGGCAUACCUGGUUUUCGUGGCUAAGGUGCCAGAGGGAAAGGGCUUUGUGGAUAACGCCAUUGGGGGUACGAGCGUCCUGCUGUUUGAUGACAUACUCGCUAUGUUUAACCUUCAUCCGCUCCACUACACCUUCGUUCGGCUAUUUUCGCUGAGUAUGGAGAUGCGGAUCAUUACAGACAAGACCCCGAACAUCGUGAUAGUCAACCCCUUCUACAUGCGUGCCAAGAUCUUGGGCAGCGCUGGGGACCGGCAAGUCGCGAGUUCUUACCUCGAAGGCGUCAUUCUGGCAAACCCAUAUAAGGAUAACUUCCUCGUGCCUUACUUUCCUGAGUAAGUCAUCCCCUCACCGCCCUGUAACAUAUGAUUUCUUAGAUUUUGAUCAUUCUUUUUUUCUAACAUUCCGUGUUUUGUGCAGUGACACACAUUGCACACUCAUCCUCUUAAGCCCGAAAUAUUCAUGGCCACGUAUUUCGACUCGGACCGUCAGUCGAAGAAAGACUACGCAAAUAUCAAGAAAGUUCUUGAUGAUGUUCUCCCCGGCUACGCCAGAUCUGGAGGCACCUUCACCAGGCCAGUUCGUAGGUACGGCUAGCACGUGUUCGCCCACACUACGAUGUUCCCCUGCGUCAAGCAGCCACCUGGCGGUCAUAAGGAUGCCUACUACGCCCUCUAUCACAUGCGGCCGAUCGUAUGGGACCAUAAUCACCUUCUACUACCAAAUAAUCUCAAAGAUUGGGCCGCAAGUGUAACACCCUCGAUGCGACUAUAGCUCCCACGUGUUGAGGCACGACUUAGAGGCAUAAUCGCAUUGAAGGCAAUGUCGCAAGUUAGGCAAUCUUCACAACAUCCCAUGUAAUAUAAAUAAUAAAAGGGGAGAUUCAUAGUUGGCUUACACUCGCCACGUCAAUCAAGUACAUAAAUAGAAUUACAACAUUCAAACACUCAUGGCCCGACUACGGCGCCAAAAUAAAAAGAACAACCCAACAUGCGACACGGUCCCAAUCACCCCAACUGGGCACCACUACUGAUCAUCAGGGAAAGACACAUAGUAUCAUUGAGAGUCCUCGUCGAACUCCCACUUGAGCUCAAGCGCGUCAUCUGGAGCGGAAUCAUCAGGCCCUGCAUCUGGUUUGGAAGUAAUCUGUGAGCCACAGGGACUCAGCAAUCUCGCACCCUCGCGAUCAAGACUAUUUAAGCUUAAAAGGUAAGGCAAGGAAAAUAUGUGGAGCUGCAGCAAGCGACUAGCAUAUAUAGUGGCUAUCCUGUUCGCAAAAGAGAGCGAGAAGAGGAGGCAAAGCGCGAGCGAGUAAUCUAGAGAAGAACCUGCGCAAGCAUAACUCCAACACCGUGUUCACUUCCUGGACUCCGUCGAGAAGAGACCAUCACGGUAACUCACACUGUUGAUUCAUUUUAAUUAAAUUAAGGUUCAAGUUAUCUACAACCGGACAUUAACAAAUUCCCAUCUACCCAUAACCGCGGGCACGGCUUUCGAAAGGUCAAAUCCCUGCAGGGGAGUCCCAACUUAGCCCAUGACAAGCUCUCACGGUUAACGAAGGAAUAGACCUCCUCCCAAGACAUUCCGAUCAGACUCGGUAUCCCGGUUCUUCAAGACACUUCGACAGGUUAAAACAAAUCCAGCAACACCACCCGAAUGUGCCGACAAAUUCCGAUAGGAGCUGCACAUAUCUCGUUCUUAGGGCACACUCAGAUGAGACAUCCUACGAGUAAAACCAACCCUCAAGUUGCCCCGAGGUGGCCCCGCAGUUUACUCGGUCGGACCAACACUCAGAGGAGCACUGGCCCGGGGGGUUUAAAUAAGAUGACCCUCGGGCUCCGGAAACCCAAGGGAAAAAGAGGCUAGGUGGCAAAUGGUAAAACCAAGGUUGGGCAUUGCUGGAAAAGCUUUAAUCAAGGCGAACUAUCAAGGGGUUCCCAUUAUAACCCAACCGCGUAAGGAACGCAAAAAUACGGGAACAUAACACCGAUAUGACGGAAACUAGGGCGGCAAGAGUGGAACAAAACACUUGGCGAGAGGCCGAGCCUUCCACCCUUUACCAAGUAUAUAGAUGCAUUAAGAUAACAUCGCAAUAUAAUGAUAUCCCAACAAGUAAAUAGUGUUCCAACAAGGAACGGUCUCCAAUCUUCAGCUGCAACUAGCAACGCUAUAAGAGGGGCUGAGCAAAGCAGUAACAUAGCCAAUCAACGGUUUACUAGGACAUGGUGGGUUAGAGGUUUGACAUGGCAAUUUGGGAGGCAUGAUAAGCAAGUGGUAGGCAUCGUAGCAUAGGCAUAACAAAAGAGCGAGCAUCUAGCAUAGCAAAGAUAGUAGUGAUUUCAAGGGUAUGAUCAUCUUGCCUGCAAAGUUGUCAGAGUUGACUGGAUCCUCGAAAGCAAACUCAAUGGGCUCCUCAUUAGCGAACUUGUCUACGGCUCUACCCAAACAAGACAAAAAAGCAACAAGGACACAAUCAACCACGUGCAAACUCAAACAACAUGAUGCAAAGAUGGUAUGCUAUGCGGGAUGCAAUAUGUGAUGCAUAUGCAAGAUUUGACAAGGAAUGGAUGAACCUGGCCUCACCUUGGAAAUCCAAGUGUGCCACUGGAAAGAUGAUAUGAAAUCGCUUGAAAACGAUAUAAAGAACGCCGGAAUCCAAGUUACGGUUUGGAAAUGGCAAGCAAUUCAAAUAUGACCGCGUUCUGCGAUUUACAGCAAGUAGCCAUCUAAAUGCAACAAGAUGAACAUGCUACAGCACCCAAACAUGGCAUAAAAAUACAUGGUAGGGAUCCAUUCGUGAAGCUUAACAAAAGACUAGCACUGAGCUACGGCCAAUUCAUCCAUUAACAGGUUCAAACAAGCAUGACAAAAAUGCAUUUGGUAAACAGAUUUCAGACUUAGUGAAAUUAACACUUGAGUGGAAUUCCAGAUCAGAUAGCACUCUUCGGAGUCUGGAAACAAUAUGCUACAGGACCUGAACAUGGCAAAGUAAAGCAUGGCAUGGAGCUACUCAAAGAGCUUAACAAAAGUCCCUUAGUGACCUUGAGCCAAAAGGGAUCAGAAAAUACAUUUGCAGGCAUGUGAACAUGGCAAAAACAUAAUCAGUUCCCAGACUUAGUGAAAACUGGAGCAUGCUGAAACAGAUAUCAAGUAGGCAUGUUUACGAGCUCGAUGCACUCACUACAGAGCAAGUCAUGACAAUCUAAGCAUACACCCAUCCAGAAUACACAAAAUACAAGCUAGACAUGGCAAGAACAAUAACAUAGCAUGCACGGAUCAACUACAACAUCCUCGGCAAAAUCGCUAACAAGUAGACAAUCUGCCCAGAUUCAUGAAAUAGCAAAAGUAGAGCUCGAUUGACUCAAGCUAGGGUGUUCCAUAAUUGCAAACAAAGAUAUGGAUGGAUAGAGCACUACAAUAUUAACAAAACAUCCUUACUGAUCAUCCUCAAAAGAGGCACGGAUCACUAGGAAACAACACGAACAUAUGGCAUAAAGAGAUAAACAGUCCAAGGACUUAGUGGAAAUGCUAAGUCCCUGAAAUCAGCAUUAACGAAUGCCCCACUUUGCAAGCUUGUGCUAGUCACCACACACAUCACAAAAAUACAUGGGUUGCACCUCUGGAUAGAUGGCAAAACAUAUAACAAAACUCAUGAAGAGCUCAGGGGCAUAUCAUGCACACAUUAAUCAUGGCAAAAAUGACAAAUAUCUAAUUGAAGCAGUAGAUCUGACAAUUAUCUCAAAUAGCACUCUUCUAACAGCAUUUCGGGCAUCAAGAUGAACUCACAUGAAAAUGAUGCAAUGAGAUGAAAUGAUGUGCUCUUUGAGACGAACAUUUUGAUAUGCUAUAUGCCCAAAAUGGAGCUAUGGAUGCGGAGUUACGAUGCGAUGAACAUAGACAAAAAGUUAGGGUUUCGGGGCAAAAGUCAACCAAGGUCUAUUCCCAGAUCUAGAUCCAGCCGAUACUGUUCAUGCACGUUCGACGAGGAUCGCCGGGGAGGUCGGCGCCGGAGUUGGUGGAGCUUGCCGGCGCGAGGGGAGGAGGAGGACGGAGCCGGGGCCAGAGUUGGGGCAAACGGCGGCGGGGCUCGGCUCCCGCGGCGCGGGCGCGCGGCNNNNNNNNNNNNNNNNNNNNNNNNNNNNNNNNNNNNNNNNNNNNNNNNNNNNNNNNNNNNNNNNNNNNNNNNNNNNNNNNNNNNNNNNNNNNNNNNNNNNNNNNNNNNNNNNNNNNNNNNNNNNNNNNNNNNNNNNNNNNNNNNNNNNNNNNNNNNNNNNNNNNNNNNNNNNNNNNNNNNNNNNNNNNNNNNNNNNNNNNNNNNNNNNNNNNNNNNNNNNNNNNNNNNNNNNNNNNNNNNNNNNNNNNNNNNNNNNNNNNNNNNNNNNNNNNNNNNNNCCGGUCGGGCGGCGGGGAGGGCCGACGUUGGGCCUGCGGGCCCGUGUCGGUGGCGGCGGCGAAGUGGGGCGCCCGGGCCACGUGGCGGCGCCGGGUUGGUCGGCGGAGGCCGCGGACGCGUCCGGCUCCGUCCGGACGUGUCCGGGUGGCGGCGGAGACGAUUUUUUUAGGGUUUGGAAGGGGAGAUCCGGAAUUUUGAUGAGGGGGUCUUUAUAUAAAGGUAGAGGGAGCUAGGAGUGUCCAAAUGAGGUGCGGUUUUCGGCCACGCGAUCGUGAUCGGACGCUCUAGAUGAUGGAGAGGGCUUUGGUGGGUUUUGGGCCAAAAUGGAGGGGUGUUGGGGUGCAACACACACGAGGCCUUCUCGGUCCCUCGGUUAACCGUUGGUGCAUCAAACGAAGUCCAAAUGGUACGGAACUUGACAGGCGGUCUACCAGUAGUAAACCAAGGCCGCUUGGCAAGUCUUGGUCCAAUCCGGAAAUUUUUAAUCCCCACACACGAAAGAAAGGUAGAAAUGACCACCGGAAAAGAACGAAGCGCCGGAAUGCAAAACGGACAACGGGGAAAAUGCUCGAAUGCAUGAGAUGAACACGUAUGCAAAUGCAAUGCACAUGAUGACAUGAUAUGAGAUGCAUGACAACAACAACAACACACGGAGACAAAAACCUGAACCCGAGCAAAUAAAAUAACUUAAGGCCGGAAGCGGCAAGAGUUGGAGUACAUAUUGGGUAAAUUACAUCCGGGGUGUUACAGCAAGAUUGUCGGCAAUCCAGGACGCGGACAUCAGACAAGAAUUCUUUCGCAUCUAGUCGGAGUUUGCGGAAAUCAUCCAUCAAGAUGUCCUUCGUACCUCGGGGCAGUUCUACCUCAUAUAUCAACCGUCCAACAGUGAGAUAGACACAACGCUACAAAUGCAGGCUGACAACACACGCGAUUUCAUGACCAUCACGAGAGAUGGCGGCUUCAUCCAUGCUCCGGUCCCUGAGUCGAGUCGAAAGUAGUGAUGCUAUGUGUAGUUCUGAAACAUCGAUUGGCUCAUGUUGUAAUUAAACUUUAAUGAACUUGUAUGUCUCUUUGGUUUGGACAAUCAUUCAACUUAUAUGUAAUCGAUGCUAUUUAUUAGUAGGACCAUGAAUCGUGCUAUUAAUGUGUUGCUUUUCUCUUCCAAUCCUUUUGUUGCAUACUUAUAUAUUGCUUAUGUAUUGUCUGUGAAUUGUUACUAAUGUUUUGUUUGGCUAGUGCAUAGAGAUGUCGUCGUAUGUCGUGUACAAGGGUAAGGUUCCCAGAGUCUAUGACGACCGGGAGGAGUGUCGGAGACAGGUUCACCAUUUCAGCAGUAACAGUUACAAAGGGUACACCACUAGGGCGGAGGCGGAAGUUAGAUACGCGCGCUACCUAGCGGGAGAGAGGAGGGAGCGUUGGAGGAACCGGAUGAAGACCAGUUUCAUCAUGAUGAUGCUCAUCGUGAUGACCGCAGCUCUCUUCUAUGUGAUGGUAGUUUAGAUGAUCGAUGUCGACUUGUAAUGUGAAGACAAACUCGCUACUCGCGGUUUCGAGACUUGUAAUGUUCUAACUUUGUUCGAUAUUUUAAAUUCGGAGACUAAUAUGAUGAAUUGUAUUCGGAGACUAAUCUUCUAUUGUAUUCGAUGAAUCUGUUGUUUAUAUGUUGUGCUCUCUAUAUUAUGUGCAGUAAUAUGUUUUGUAACCUGUGCAAAUAUCAGAAAAUAAAAAAACCCUAAUAUUCAUACUAGUGGCGCACCACUAAGCACACUAAUGGCGCACUGCAAAAAGGACUCUAAUGGCGCAUCAUCCACUAGUGCACCAUUAGUAUGCCGAAGCACAUGGGUAAAUAUGGCCCCGUGGGAGGCAUACUAAUGGCGCACCGUGGGCUAUACUAAUGGCGCACUGCAUGGUGCGCCAUUAGUACAAAAUACUAGUGGCGCACCUGUAGUGCACCAUUAGUAGGCAAAACAGGUGCGCCACUAGUAGGCCUUUUCCUAGUAGUGCACAAUUCAUCGGUCUCAACAAACACACCGUAAAAAGAAGAUUACAUCGAAUAGAUCUCCACAAGAGAGGGGGGGAACAUUGUAUUGAGAUCCAAAAAGAGAGAAGAAGCCAUCUAGCUACUAACCAUUGACCCGUAGGUCUGAGAUGAACUACUCACACUUCAUCGGAGGGGCUAUGGUGUUGAUGUAGAAGCCCUCCGUGAUCGAUGCCCCCUCCGGCGGAGCUCCGGAACAGGCCCAAGAUGGGAUCUCGUGCAUACAGAAAGUUACGGCGAUGGAAUUAGGGUUUUGGCUCCUGUUCUGAUCGUUUGGGGGUACGUGGAUAUAUAUAGGAGGAAGAAGUACGUCGGUGGAGCAACAGGGGGCCCACGAGGGUGGGGGCGUGCCUGGUAGGGUAGGGCGCGCCCCCUACCUCGUGGCCUCCUGUUACGUGCCUUGGCGUAGGGUCCAAGUCUCAUAGGUCUUAUCUGUUGAGAAAAUCACGUUCCGGAAGGUUUCAUUCCAUUUGGAUUCCGUUUGAUAUUCCUUUUCUUCGAAACCCUAAAACAGGCAAAAAACUGCAAUUCUGGGUUGGGCCUCCGGUUAAUAGGUUAGUCCCAAAAAUAAUAUAAAAGUGGACAAAUAAGACCAAUAAUGUCUAAAACAGUAGAUAAUAUAGCAUGGAGCAAUCAAAAAUUAUAGAUACGUUGGAGACGUAUCAAGCAUCCCCAAGCUUAAUUCCUGCUCGUCCUCGAGUAGGUAAAUGAUAAAAACAGAAUUUUUGAUGCGGAGUGCUACUUGACAUAAUUUUAAUGUAAUUCUUCUUAAUUGUGGUAUGAAUAUUCAGAUCCGAAAGAUUCAAGACAAAAGUUCAUAUCGACUAAGCAAUUAUGUCUUCUCAAAAUAACAUGGCCAAAGAAAGUUCAUCCCUACAAAAUCAUAUGGUUUAGUCAUGUUUCAUUUUCGUCACACAAGAAUGCUCUCAUCAGGCACAACCCCGAUGACAAGCCAAGCAAUUGUUUCAUAAUUUAGUAAUCUCAAACCUAUAAACUUGCACGCAAUAUAUGAGCGCGAGCCAUGGACAUAGCACUAUAGGUGGAAUAGAAUAUAAGGAGGGGGGUUAUGUGGAAAAGACAAAAGAGGAGAAAGUCUCACAUCAACGAGGCUAAUCAAUGGGCUAUGGAGAUGCGCACCGAUUGAUGUUAAUGCAAGGAGUAGGGAUUGUCAUGCAACAGAUGCACUAGAGCUAUAAAAGUAUGAAAGCUCAACAAAAGAAAAUAGUGAGUGUGCAUCCAACUUGCUUGCUCACGAAGACCUAGGGCACUUGAGGAGGCCCAUUGUUGGAAUAUACAAGCCAAGUUCUAUAAUGAAAAUUUCCACUAGUAUAUGAAAGUGACAAAACAAGAGACUCUCUAUCAUGAAGAUUAUGGUGCUACUUUGAAGCACAAGUGUGGCAAAGGAUAGUAACAUUGUCCCUUCUCUCUUUUUCUCUAAUUUUUUAUAUGGCCUUUUCCUUUUUUAUGGCCUUUCUCUUUUUUAUAUUCCUCACUUGGGACAAUGCUCUAGAAAAUGAUGAUCAUCACACUUCUAUUUAUUUACAACUCAAUGAUUACAACUCGAUACUAGAACAAAAGAUGACUCUAUAUGAAUGCCUCCGAUGGUGUACCGGGAUAUGCAAUGGACCAAGAGUGACAUGUAUGAAAGAAUUAUGAACGGUGGCUUUGCCACAAAUACUAUGUCAACUACAUGAUCAUGCUAAGCAAUAUGACAAUGAUGAAUGUGUCAUGAUGAACGGAAUGAUGGAAAGUUGCAUGGCAAUAUAUCUCAGAAUGGCUAUGGAAAUGCCAUAAUAGGUAGGUAUGGUGGCUGUUUUGAGGAAGAUAUAAGGAGGUUUAUGUGUGAAAGAGCGUAUCAUAUCACGGGGUUUGGAUGCACCGGCGAAGUUUGCGCCAACUCUCAAUGUGAGAAAGGGCAAUGCACGGUACCGAAGAGGCUAGCAAGGAUGGAAGGGUGAGAGUGCGUAUAAUCCAUGGACUCAACAUUAGUCAUAAAGAACUCACAUACUUAUUGCAAAAAUCUACAAGUCAUCAAAAACCUCGGUACUACACGCAUGCUCCUAGGUGGGAUAGAUUGGUAGGAAAAGACCAUCGCUCGUCCCCGACCGCCACUCAUAAGGAAGACAAUCAAAUAACACCUCAUGUUUUAAAUUUGUUGCAUAACGUUUACCAUACGUGCAUGCUACGGGACUUGCAAACCUCAACACAAGUAUUUCUCAAUUUCACAACUACUCAACUAGCACGACUUUGAUAUUAUUACCUCCAUAUCUCAAAACAAUUAUCAAGCAUCAAACUUCUCUUAGUAUUCAAAACACUCUUAAGAAAAUUUUACUAAUCUUGAAUACCUAGCAUAUUAGGAUUUUAAGCAAAUUACCAUGCUAUUAAGACUCUCAAAAUAAUAUAAGUGAAGCAUGAGAGAUCAAUAGUUUCUAUAAAACAAAUCCACCACCGUGCUCUAAAAGAUAUAAGUGAAGUACUAGAGCAAAAUUAUAUAACUCAAAAGAUAUAAGCGAAGCACAUAGAGUAUUCUAACAAAUUCCAAAUCAUGUAUGGCUCUCUCAAAAGGUUUGUACAGUUAGGAUGACUGUGGUAAACUAGCAAGCAAAGACUCAAAUCAUACAAGAUGCUCCAAGCAAAACACAUAUCAUGUGGUGAAUAAAAAUAUAGCUCCAGGUAAAGUUACCGAUAGAAGUAGACGAAAGAGGGGAUGCCUUCCGGGGCAUCCCCAAGAUUUGGCUUUUAGGUGUCCUUAGAUUAUCUUGGGGAUGCCAUGGGCAUCCCCAAGCUUAGGCUCUUGCCACUCCUUGUUCCAUAAUCCAUCAAAUCUUUACCCAAAACUUGAAAACUUCACAACACAAAACUUAAAGUAGAAAAUCUCGUGAGCUCCAUUACCGAAAGAAAACAAAUACCACUUGAAGGUACUGUAAUGAACUCAUUAUUUAUUUAUAUUGGUGUUAUACCUAUUGUAUUCCAACUUCUCUAUGGUUUAUAAACUAUUUUACUAGCCAUAGAUUCAUCAAAAUAAGCAAACAACACACGAAAAACAGAAUCUGUCAAAAACAGAAUAGUCUGUAGUAAUCUGUAGCUAGCGCAAGAUCUGGAACCCCAAAAAUUCUAAAAUAAAUUUCUGGACGUGAGUAAUUUAUCUAUUAAUCAUCUGCAAAAAUAAUUAACUAAAUAUCACUCUCCAAAUAAAAAUGACAGCAGUUCUUGUGAGCGCUAAAGUUUCUGUUUUUUACAGCAAGUUCAACAAGACUUUCCACAAGUCUUCCCAACGGUUCUACUUGGCACAAACACUAAUUAAACACAAAAAACACAACCAAAACAGAGGCUACAUAAUUUAUUUAUUACUAAACAGGAGCAAAAAGCAAGGAAUAAAAAUAAAAUUGUGUUGCUUCCCAACAAGCGCUAUCGUUUAACGCCCCUAGCUAGGCAUAACAAGCAAGAAUAGAUAUAGGUAUUGCCAUCUUUGGUUUUCAAAAUUUUAGCGGAAUCAAGCUCAAAUCCGGGAGGUUCUUUAUGUUUCCCUUCAUAUUCUGAAAUUUUUAGAUCUAAUGAAUCCAACCGUUUAUUGCAAAGGGUAAUCAACAUAUUCAUGCAGUGAAUAUUUCCACUAAUGUUCAUAAGAGGUUCAAGAGAUUUUUGCAAGAUUUUAGUAACUUCACUUUUUUUUUCAAAAACUUGUGUCUCUUCCUGAGUAGGAUGAAGCCCCUUUUGUUGAUGUAUUGUUCCCACUAUACCUUCUAUAAUUUCAAGUGCAAUAUGGGGAUCGAUUUCAAUAAAAUUGCCUUUGGCAACGCAAUCCAAGAGUUGUCUAUGAGACAUAUUUAAUCCAACAUAAAAAUUGCGAAGCAAAACUCUCAGGUUUAUUUCAGAGGUACAAUUACGAUAAGACUCCAUUAUUCUCAACCAAGCAUCUUUUAAGUUUUCUCCUAGUCUUUGUUUAAAGUGAAAGAUCUCGAACUCAGGGGUCAACGGAGAAGAUAAGGGACUAGCCAUAACGACAAGCAAACAAACUAACACACAAGCAAACAAAGAGGCAAACGGGCAAAAAGAGGCAAAUAGAGAAAGAGAGGGAGGAUAGAGAGAGAGGGCGAAUAAAAUGGCAAGGGUGAAGUGGGGAGAGGAAAACGAGAGGCAAAUGGCAAAUAAUGUAAUGCGGGAGAUAAGGGUAUGUGAUGGGUACUUGGUAUGUUGACUUUUGCGAAGACCUCCCCCCGGCAACGGCGCCAGAAAUCCUUCUUGCUACCUCUUGAGCACUGCAUUGGUUUUCCCCGAAGAGGAAGGGAUGAUGCACCAAAGUAGUGUAAGUACUUCCCUCAGUUUUUGAGAACCAAGGUAUCAAUCCAGUAGGAGGCUACGCGCAAGUCCCUCAUACAUGCACAAAACAAAUAAAUCCUCGCAACCAACGCAAAUAGGGGUUGUCAAUCCCUAUGAGGCCACUUACGAGAGUGAGAUAUGAUAGAUAUGAUAAAGAUAAUAUUUUUGGUAUUUUUAUGAUAAAGAUGCAAAGUAAAAUAAAGGCAAAGUAAAUAGCAAAGUAGUAGGAGAACAAUAUGAUAAAGAUAGACCCGGGGCCAUAGGUUUCACUAGUGGCUUCUCUCGAGAGCAUAAGUAUUCUACGGUCGGUGAACAAAUUACUAUUGAGCAAUUGACAGAACUGAGCAUAAUUAUGAGAAUAUCUAGGCAUGAUCAUGUAUAUAGGCAUCACGUCCGAGACAAGUAGACCGACUCCUGCCUGCAUCUACCACUAUUACUCCACUCAUCGACCGCUAUCCAACAUGCAUCUAGAGUAUUAAGUUAAAAACAGAGUAACGCCUUAAGCAAGAUGACAUGAUGUAGAGGGAUAGACCCAUGCAAUAUGAAGAAAACCCCAUCUUGUUAUCCUCGAUGGCAACAAUACAAUACGUGCCUUGCUGCCCUUACUGUCACCGGGAAAGGACACUGCAAGAUUGAACCCAAAGCUAAGCACUUCUCUCAUUGCAAGAAAGAUCAAUCUAGUAGGCCAAACCAAACUGAUAAUUCGAAGAGACUUCCAAAGAUAACCAAUCAUACAUAAAAGAAUUCAGAGAAGAUUCAAACAUUGUGCAUAGAUAGACUUGAUCAUAAACCCAUAAUUCAUCGGUCUCAACAAAUAAACACACCGCAAAAAGAAGAUUACAUCAAAUAGAUCUCCACAAGAGAGGGGGAGAACAUUGUACUGAGAUCCAAAAAGAGAGAAGAAGCCAUCUAGCUACUAACUAUGGACCCGUAGGUCUGAGAUGAACUACUCACACUUCAUCGGAGGGGCUAUGGUGUUGAUGUAGAAGCCCUCCGUGAUCGAUGCCCCCUCCGGCGGAGCUCCGAAACAGGCCCCAAGAUGGGAUCUCGUGGAUACAGAAAGUUAGGGCGGUGGAAUUAGGGUUUUGGCUCCUGUUCUGAUCGUUUGGGGGUACGUGGAUAUAUAUAGGAGGAAGAAGUACGUCGGUGGAGCAACAGGGGGGCCACGAGGGUGGGGGGGCACGCCCCCUACAUCGUGGCCUCCUGUUACGUGCCUUGGCGUAGGGUCCAAGUCUCCCGGGUCUUAUCUGUUGAGAAAAUCACGUUCCCGAAGGUUUCAUUCCGUUUGGACUCUGUUUGAUAUUCCUUUUCUUCGAAACCCAAAAACAGGCAAAAAACAGCAAUUCUGGGCUGGUCCUCCGGUUAAUAGGUUAGUCCCGAAAAUAAUAUAAAAGUGGAUAAAUAAGCCCAAUAAUGUCUAAAACAGUAGAUAAUAUAGCAUGGGGCAAUCAAAAAUUAUAGAUACGUUGAAGACGUAUCAACACUCUGCUUGUCUAUUUAUUCACACAUGUAUCAAGUUUUUGGUUAAUACAAUUCUAGCAUGAAUAAUAAACAUUUAUCAUGAUAUAAGGAAAUAUAAAUAACAACUUUAUUAUUGCCUCUAGGGCAUAUUUCCUUCAACCUUUUCCAACAAAGAGUCCAUAUUUCAUAACAACUAAUUUAUUAGACUCGAAAACAAACUUAAACCCUUCUCUACAUAGAAGGGAGCCACUAAUGAGGUUCUUUUUGAUGGCGGGGACAUGUUGCACGUUCUUCAGCUGCACGAUCCUUUCCGAAGUAAACUUCAGAUCGACUGUGCCAACAUCAUGAAUAGAAGCACUCGCGCCAUUCCCCAUCAAUACGGACCCGUGGCCUAUGACCUGGUAAGAAGAAAACAAUGAAAUGCCAGCACACACAUGAACACCUGCACCUGUGUCCACCCACCAAUCGGUGGGCUGAAACACUGAAAAAACAUUAAAUAAAUUACCGUACCCAGAUGCACCAUUCUCAUUGUUGCCCAUAAUCAUGUUGACAGACUUGGAGUCCUGUCCUGGCUUCUAGUACUUGUUUGGGCACUUGUUGGCCCAAUGUUCAAUCGAACCACAAGUAAAGCAGCCAUCGUCCUUUUUGUUCUUCUUGAAGGUCUUCUUGCCUUUCUUCUUAAAGUCAAUAUUAUGUUGGACACCAUUCUUUUCCUUGGGCUUGUGGGAGUUGAAGUUCCUCUGGUUCACCAUCUUGGUGACAGAAGUCCCUUUGGCCCCUUUUCCGUGCGAGUCCUUUGCCCUCGAAUUAUGCUCAACACUCAGAUGGCCAAUGACAUCCUCCACAGAGAAUUCACGCCUCUGAUGUUUCAGAGUGGUGGCAAAGUUCCUCCAGGAAUUAGGGAGCUUAGCAAUUAUGCAGCACGCGACAAACUUGCCCGGUAACUCGCACUUAAGAAGCUCAAGCUCCUUGACGAUGCAUAUUAUCUCAUGAGCCUGCUCCAGUACAGGACAAUUUUCAACCAUCUUGUAAUCAUGGAACUGCUCUAUAAUAUACAUUUUGCUCCCAGCAUCGGUGGCCCCGAACUUAGAUUCGAGCGCCUCCCAAAAGUCCUUGGCAACACGCACAUGUAAAUAUACGUCGACCAACUUAUCUCCGAUCACGCUAGGAACUGCUCCUAGGAACACGAUGAUGGUUUCCUUGAAUGCCUUUUCCUGUUCAGGAGCAAACGUUCUUGAAGGAACACCGGUGACCUAGAACACGUUCAUAGCAGUGAGCCAUAAGGUGGUCUUUGUCUGCCAACGCUUAAAAUAUGUAUCGGUAAACUUAUCCGGUUUCAGUGCUGCGGCAAAGCCACUCACCGAAAAAAAUCCUACACAUAAUAGGUUUCUUGAUUGCUGAAUAAAUAGGCAAUUUUUUGAUUAACUUAAUCCACGAGGAAAUCACUAACAUAGCAUUGACAAAAAUAAUCACAUACUGAUAUUCAAUCAUGCAAGCACAUACUACGCUAAUUGCAGACAGAUCUACGUAUAACGCUAGCAUGGUUAAAACAGAAAAUAGAAGGAGCGGGAUAAACGAGUUAUAACCUCCAGUAGGUCAUGCAGAGGCCGCCGCGGCGGUGGCGGCAGUAGCGGUGUCCUUGGCGGUCUCGAGCUUCUCGGCGGCGGCACGUUCAGCGUCGGUGGACAUGAUGAUGAUGAGGACGACACGGACGUAUAGGAAGUAGACGAACAGCGAGCAGACGCUUCCCAAAAACCUAUUUGUCCCACUCCCGUACAGGGACCGAAGGGACGGGGUUAGAUUUGAUCUGUUCGUGCCAGCUAGGGUUGGGAGACACCGCACACAUAUAUAGGCGCAGCCGCAUGGAGAGACGUGGGCUCGACCCACGUCCGAGUCCAUGAUAGACCACGAUCCGAUGUUUCAGAUCGUGGCCCAGUCUUCGUUAGUGACUGCUAAAAAUAAGUGCGUACAUGUGAGAUCGGCUCGGCUCAAUCCGCAACCCGCGUCGCGUCGUGACGAGGCGUGACGUGGCGAGGCGGGCGACGGAGGAGGAGCCUCUUUUAUUCUCAAGGUCCAAUAGCAUGUGGAAGACAAUUCCUUAUAAAGAGGUCCAACUCUUUCUCCACUAUAGGGGUGGGACUAAACUUCCCACUACACCUAGUGCCAAUAAACCCACAUGGGCCCUUAGAGAUUUUCAAAAAUUGCUAGAUGGGCCUAACGUCCAUCCUAUAUUUCAGCACACCAUUGCGAACAAGUACAUGCAACCAUUCCUUGCAGUACCAUUGUCACGCUCUAUUCCUCAUGCAUGGUCACUCUGGUGGGGUGAUACAUGACCUUGAGGUUCUAAGUCCAUGGCCACCACCACUGAACCUAAGUAUUCUGGUGCUCAGUUCCUUCAGAGGGGUCCCCUUUUAUGCUUCUGAACAAAUUCAGUGGGAAAUUUCUGGUGAUAUUUUCAAGAAAUUGUUGUUUCCCAGCAUGGUGAGGAGAUCUGCUAUUGUAUUGGUGAUGUUACUGCUUGGUACUUGUCAUUUACACGAUUCAGACCUACUGAUGCAUAUUUUGCUGAGCAUAAGAUGCAAAUUCUCGGAGGAGUUGGGAAAUGGUGGUCAUAUAGUCAAUAUGUGCAGUCAACUGCUGAAAUUUUUUAGGCUUCUCCUUGGCAUGUGUUUUAUGUUUCUGGAAGUUUCUUGCAAGUGAAUGCUACGGGUUUAGCCCAACAUUUAUUUUCUUGGGAUAACCAACGGGAAGGUGGUACUAGUGAGGCUGAAGCCAUGGCCUUUUUGAGAAUGUUUCUCCUGAGAAGAAAAACUCAGCUGACUACUUUUUCAGUGGUGCUAUACUAGUAUACUGUAGUGGUGGAAGUACUUUAUUAUAUGCAGCUAUUGAAGAACUUUACGGAAGUGAGCAAUUUCCUUGGGUCAUUGCUUGGUUGAGUUGCUGCAUUACUAGUUCCAUGUGUAAGGUGCACUGGGUGAUUCUUAUCUGUACAAAUUUAAGGACUGGAGGUUAUCUAUGCAAGUGGAAGCAACUAAUAAUGUUCAUGUUUGCUGCAAGGGGUUGCACUGUUCCAAUUCUGGCAUGUGAUCCUGACAACUUUUCUAUGAAAAAAUGGCUGACUUCUCUGCUCCAGAACUGAACCAACGAGAUCAUGCAUUGAUGCAAUGGAAGAUCCCAUGGUUACAAGAACUGCUCAAAGAGCUCUCAUGUGAUCUAUUGCUUGAAGAUUGAGAUCAGAAGCUCAGUUGUCCGUACCAUUUAUCUAUUGCACUUGCCCUGGGGUGGUGGUCUUACUUGUCGUCGGCUUGGGAUCAAGCCAAACUUCAUGGGGGUUGUUCAAUGGGUGCGAGGAUGGUGGAUUUUGUUGCAGCGAUAUAUUGUUGUAGCCACUACUUGGACGGUGCAUUUGUACCUUGACCAAGUCUGUGCCAACCAAGACUACCACCUCCAUGUCCUUGCCGACCAAGUUCCUGUUUGUCAUGACGACGACUACAUUGGCACAAGAUUGAGUCAGUGGCCUACAAUUGGUUAACAAGGUGCUUUGUGUCUGUUGUCGAUAAUUCCCAUUAUCGGCAAGACAGCAAAGAUUUCAUUGCCUACCUUUUCCAAGGAACAAGUGACAAAUUUUAUUUCUUAAGCUAACUCAAUAGAAUUGAUGUCCAAAUUAAUCUUAGCCACCUCACCAAAUAUUCUGCACAGCAUCAAAAAGUGAAAAAUGAGGACAGGUUUAAUGCAGGGGUUUAAAAAGAAACAUAUUUCCACAUCGUAAAGAAAACCAAAAAAUUAUACAUACACAAAUACAUAUAUAGCAUGUUCAAGGAAAUUUUCAUGACAAUAUAUUUUCAUAUGUGGUGUAGACACAAAAAAACAAAUACAUAUAUAAAAACGGACCAUUUUUGUUGUUGUUGGGCCAGGAUUUAUAUUUUGCGCAGCUUCCAAAUUAAUAUUUUUGAAUGACAUUUUACAGAUCCAUCACAAAUAUGUACAAGUCUUUACAGAUAUUUUUUGAAUUUUUGAAUCAUUGAAAUAUCAUUUUGUUAAUCAUUUGAAAAAACUGGGCUCCAAUGAGCCCGUCCUCAGUAACUUCGUUCUCAAAAAAGGAUGCCCUAACAGCUAACAGAUGCAAAUCCAACUCAUAUGUUCCGGCAGCAAUACCCAUCUUUUCAUCGGUACAAAUUCAAAUCACGCAUCGCACUUGUAAUAAGAAAAAACUCGACCAGACCAGCUAAUUUACAGUCAGCUUGCCCCCACGGGCUCCAUCCACAACACAAUCCCCCGACAAUCUAACUCGACACUGAAAGCAUACGGCGAACUGGU